rnacentral:lncRNA from 1 species
AUUGAUUAUGUUUGGAGUAAAUAAAAAUUAUGUCCUAUAAAAUUAUGGAUGAUAACAUGUAAGUUUAUUAUAUUUCAUAUAUGGUUAUAUGAAAAACAAAAAUUGAUGAAAGAUUUUAUGAAAUGGAAAAAGGAAAAAAAAAGAAAAAAAAUGAUGAUGAAAAGUAAAAACCCGUAAAAGACGAAUUAAGAAGGAAAUGAGAUUUCUAGUAUGAAAACUACAAAAAUUUAUCUUGUGAAAACUCUAAAUGGGGAGUGUAUUUAAUAUAGAUGUAUAUCAUUCAGUAAAAACCCAAAAACAAUAGUUUGUUACUUUAUUGAAUGUAAACAUUUGCAUCAUGUUUUCAUUUGGAAGAAUGACAUGUAUUAAUUACUUGAAUGACAUUAAUGGUAUGUUUGGAUAUUUUAUUAGAGACUGAAAUGAUUUAUUUAUUUUGUAAAUUUAGAAUUGUUUGAUUUGUUAUUUAUAUAAUUGAAUAAGAAAUGUGAUAAUUUUGAUUAGUUUAAUUUUAUAUGGUUGAGGUUUUAUUUAAUGAAAUGCAUUGUUUUGAAAAUUGGAUCGGACCAACCGGUUCAAUUGCCAACUGGUGAUCUUUCCGGUUCUGUCCUCUCCUUUAAACCGCUAGAUGGUUGAACCAACCACAAACCACUAUUGGCAGUUGGACCGAUGAACCGCUUGGACCGGGUGGUUUUUCAUGAACUGCAUGGCUCAAUUCCAGCCCAGUCUUCCCCCCAUUUUUUCUUUCAUCCAAAUAGUCCAACCUUCCCCUCCUCUUUUUCAAAGGGUCCAAGUGAAAGCCCAAUAAGCCCAGCCUUACAUCUUAAUGGUCUUUAGGCAAAACCUAAACCCAUUUAAACCCCUCAAUGGGUUGUACCUUUGAACCCCUUAGUUACACAAAUGGCUUGAAUGAACUGUGUUUUACGCGCAUAUUCACAUCCACAUCCAUGUGGGAUUGCUGCUAUUUUAAGUCUAAAGAAAAAGCAACACCACUUAGCUACAACACAAUUUGAUGCAAGUCUAGAAAAUAAAAAAAACAUGUGUUUCAAAAAAAAAAAAAAAAUAUUAAAUAAAAUAAUAUAAUAUUUUCUGAAAUUAUAAAAUUAGUUAAAGUUAAAUAAUUAAAUUUUUACAUAUUCCAUUUAAUAAAGUUCAAAAUAUUAAUAUAUUUAUAUUUAUAUUUUGAUAAUAUCAAAGAUAAAAAUUAAAUAUUUUUAAAUUUUUAAUUUAUAUAUCUAUAUAUAUAUAUAUAUAUAUAUAUAUAUAUAGUUUUUUAUUUUUUAUUUUAAUAAUAUAUAAGUUAUAUAUUUAUGACAUUAUUUGUUCGACUAUUCGAUCAUCGGUCCAACCAUUGAAUCAUGAAUAGAUAACUUUUCUGAUUCAAUAACCGGUCUGAUUUUGAAAAUAUUGAUUUAAUGUAAAUAUAAUAUUAUAUUUUGACAUAUAAUUGUUUUCUAUUGACCUAAAUUUUUUAAUUCAUUUGGGUGUAAAACACCUUACAAAACAAUAUGAAAAUGUUCACCCCUUUAUUUUUAUAAAAUUUUUAGAUACAAAUAUAGUUUAUAAGGAACCAUAAGAAAAUCAAGAAGUGUUCCAAAAAGCCUUAAAAAAUAAAAGAACAACAAUAAUAAUAAUUUUUAAUUUAUAUUACCUUUUUGACAUGUGCUAAUUUGAGUUAUAUGAAUUUUUGUAACUUAAAUUAUAUUUUUUUAUUUUGUAAAAUAUUUUUGGAAAUAUUUUUUACUUAGAUUUAUGUAGAUAUUUGGGUUUAAAUAUUGAUCUAUUCACUGUCAAAUUGGAUAGGAAUAAACUUUAAGGUCAACCCUUUGACCUGAUAUCACUAGUCGGAUUCUGAGUUGCCUUGGGUGUGACUAUAAUGGAUUUUCUUCUCCAUUGCCUAAACCCUGUCAUGGUUGGAGCGUUUGCAAUACUCGUCCUCUCAUACCACCUGUUAUUAUGGAGGUCUGGAGCUGGUAAGAGCAGAAUGGCACCUGAAGCUUCUGGUGCAUGGCCCAUAAUAGGUCACCUGCACCUGUUAGGUGGAUCUAAGAAUUUGCCUCACUUACUUUUUGGAACCAUGGCCGACAAGUAUGGACCAGUAUUCAGCAUCCGGCUGGGAUUAAAAAGAGCUGUGGUUGUGAGUAGUUGGGAAAUGGCCAAAGAAUGCUUCACCACCCAUGACCUGGCUCUGGCCUCCCGUCCUCAGCUUGUGGCCGCCAAAUAUUUGGGAUAUAACUAUUCCAUGUUUGCUUUCUCUCCUCAUGGUGCAUACUGGCGUGAAGUGCGUAAGAUAGCCACUCUAGAGCUACUCUCGAACCGCCGGCUAGAGUUGCUGAAGAAUGUCCGAAUCUCAGAGGUGGAGACAUGCAUGAAGGAACUAUACAAGCUUUGGGCAGAGACGAAAAGCGAAGCAGGCGUUGUUUUGGUGGACAUGAAGCAAUGGUUUGGGCACUUGUCUCUGAACGUGAUUCUUAAGAUGGUUGUUGGAAAACGAUAUUUCGGUUAUGCAGCCGAAAGUAAAGAGAAAGGGGCCCAGCAGUGCCAGAAGGCGAUUAGGGAAUUCUUUCGUUUGAUGGGACUCUUUGUGGUGUCGGAUGCCCUUCCUUUUCUUGGAUGGCUUGACGUGGGUGGACAUGUGAAAGCCAUGAAGAAGACUGCAAAAGAAUUGGACGGUAUUGCUCAGGAAUGGUUAGAGGAACACCGACGGCGAAAAGAUUCGGGUGAAGCUGAUGGUGACCAGGACUUCAUGGACGUGAUGCUGUCCAUUCUGGGUGGUAGAGACACUACUGAUUAUGAUGCUGAUACCAUCAACAAAGCUACAGCCCUGGUAUGCACAUUAUUCCUUUAGCAUCUUUAUAUGGUAGUAAAAAAUGAGACAUAAUUUCACGCUUUAUCAUCUUUAGUCCAGACUCAAGAGUACUUGGGCCUGGGUUGGAAGAACUUCUUGUUUUUGCUUAGUUUCAAGUUGAAACUAAUCAAAAGCAGCGAUUUUUAAAAGGUAAUUAUAAUAGUGGUGUUAUAAAAGUUCAAACAUAAAAUAACUUUUUGCAUAAAUCAAAAUAGAGUUUAUAUAUAUAUAAUAUUUUUCUGAUCUUCAUAUUAAUUUUUUUAAGUCAUAACUUUUUUGAACAAAAUUAGUCAAACCAUAGAACUCUUGAACUUACAGAAAAGGCCUUUCGAUUUCUUAGAAAUAGAUACAUGUAGAGUUUUGUUAUAUGUUUGUUUUUGUCAAAAGAGUAACAUGAGCAGCUUAGACAAGCAAUUAGAAUGAAAUACAACUGGGCUGAGAAGCUGAUCGAGUACAACUAGAAUUAUGUACAACCUCUUGCUAGGAUAACUGGGUUGGACUAGUAAUGAUAGAGUUCUCCGUUGGAGUUAGGUGGCCCAAAAAGAUUGUGCUGUUUGAAUAGCUGGUCCUCUAAUUUAGGAAGAGGCAACCGAAUUUGCACCGCUGGGUGGCUGGGCCCAUAGAAAAUAUUAUUGUCAGAAGAUUAUGAAAGUAUGUUCCUUAGUCCGCAUGCUUUGAGGCCUCUUUGAGUGGGCUUCUAGGGCUGGUUAGACAAUUGGGCCUUUCAAAGGAUUUCCUAGAGUUACAUUUUUUUUAGCCCAACAUGAAUUUUUAUAAAAUGCUAUAUUUAUACGCGAGUUUCAUAUUGAAGCUAAACAUACCCAUUUUGAUCGGAAAAAAAAAGGAAAGAAAAUGGGGCCUUUUUUCCACCCUUAAUCCUAUCACUAUUUUUAAUUUUAUUUUAUUAGUUAAUGGUAUGUAUUUCACAGAUUCUGAUUGGAGGAGGCACUGACACUACAUCUGGUACUUUAACAUGGGCAAUCUCACUUUUAUUGAACAAUCCACACAUAUUAAGAAAAGCUCAAGAAGAAUUGGAUGCACAUGUUGGUAAAGAAAGAAUAGUAAAUGAAAUGGAUAUAAGCAAGUUGGUCUACCUUCAAGCAAUUGUUAAAGAGACAUUGAGGUUAAAUCCAACAGCCCCACUUUCAGGACCGCGUCAAUUCAUCCAAGAUUCUAUUUUAGGCGGUUACUAUAUCUCAAAAGGCACUCGUCUUAUAUUGAACCUCACCAAGAUCCAAAGAGACCCGAGAGUAUGGUUGAACCCAAUGGAGUUCCAACCAGAUAGAUUCCUCACCACCCACAAAGAUGUUGAUGUUAGAGGUAAACAUUUUGAGUUGACACCAUUUGGUGGUGGAAGAAGAAUUUGCCCUGGAGCAAUUUUUGCCCUUCAAGUGCUACACUUAACAUUAGCCAACUUCCUACAUAGAUUUCAACUUUCAACUCCAUCAGAUGCACCGGUUGAUAUGAGCGAGAGUUUUGGAUUAACAAACAUCAAAUCCACUCCACUUGAAGUUCUUAUCUCCCCACGCUUGGCUUCUUAUGAUCUUUAUGAGUAGAACUUGAGGUCGCUAAGAGACUUAUUUCAAAAAACCUAGUGCUAUGAAAUGUGAAAUAAAAAUAAAUUUCAUACAUGUAGCAUAAGUUUAGUAUUAUUUUAAAGCAGUUACUAAUGUGUGUCCUUUAGUAUUGUCUUAGCUUGAAUUUAAUAAAAAAAUAUUUUCGACAACUAUUUUGUGUGGACAAGUAAUGACCCAAUUUCUUGUUAUGUUUCUUCAUUCUUCCAUGAAAGAGAAUUUAGAAGAAAAAGUGGCAUAUAGCAUUACAAUUGAAAAAUUAAUAAGCAUGUACUCCACCAUAUGCAUAUAUAUGCAUAGUAGACUUAAUGAAUUUCCAAGUUGAUUAAUUGGUAUCUCCUUUUGAUAGAUUUCAGCCACCUUUUUGUACAUGAUUAAAGUAGUAAUGGAGACUAAAAUUACAACUCCCAUUUCAUUGUAAAAAGUUGGGAUGUGCAAGGUGGGUCAGUUCAAUUUUGGGCAUUAAAAUCGAAUCGAAUCGAAUUGAACCCAAAAGAGGAAAAUGAUUAGUUUGACUUGAUUAACAAUAAUCUAAGUUGGUUUAUUUUGCUUCUAUUUAUAACAUCAAUUUUUUUUUUAAUUUGAACGAAAAUAAUAUUAUUGAAGCAAGUCAUCUUUGGACGGUUGAAAUGAUAUUAUUACAACUAAUUUCAAAUCAUAUUAUUAUAACUUAAUGACAUGAAUAGGUAUUAUUGUAACCCAUGUCAAUCAUAUCAAAUAGUCCAAGUCAUAGAUAAAAGUUAUAAAGGUGUGAUUGGGAGUUCCAUCCAAUGUGAAAAAUGUAUACCAAAUUAAUAAUGUAACCAAUUGUUAUACUGUAUAUUAUUAUUGUGUGUGUAUAGCUUUCAAUUCAAUUCAGUUUGGUUCAUUAAUUUUUUUUUAUAGGUAAUUGAAUUGGUAUAACUUAGGUUUAUAUUUUUAAAAAUAAAAUCUUUAAAAAUUAAUAGAUUUGGGUCAAUUCCAUUGAUUUUGUCAAUCGUACACCCUAAAAGAAGGGAUGUCCACUUAUCAUCCAUAACUUUGUGUACUCCUAAGUUAGAAUUUUGCCCCAUGUGAUUCACAUUUGUACUUAUUAUUCUCAAAUUUUCGUACAAAUGAUUUAUUGUUUUGUGGAAUUUUACUCCAUGAGAUUCACAUUUGUACUUAUUAUUAUCAACUUUGUCUGCUCUUAAGUUACAAUUUCUCCUAAUUAGAUUCACAUGCGUUAUUGCCAUAAUUGACUUUCCACAUUUAUGCAUGAAUUAUUAUGUCAAUAGAUGCAUUAUCAUUUUGUCAAGUUAAUUUGACUUAGGUUAAUCACCAAAGACAAGGUGAAUUAAUUGACUCAAUUUUAAUAAAUUUUAAUUUAAAUGAGUGCAAGUAAUAAUAAUAAAACAGUAAAAAAAUACAUAAUUAAAUAAAUAAAAAGAAGAGAUAACUGGUACAAACUCCAAUUUAUAUUUUGCUCAAUCCUAUACUCUCCUCAAGCCCUCAAAUGCAAAUUGAGGGUUCCACUAGCUUUUAAGACUUCAAUCAAACCUUAAUCCUUUACACCUGGAUUCUCAAUUUCAAUGAUCUUUUUACACUUUAAUUCAAGAAAUUCCUCACUCUUGAACAUACUCAAAGGUAACACUUGAACAACAUUGAUCUCACAAAGUUUUAUUUACAGAUAAUAUAAAUGAAAACUUAAAUGGUUUUUUUUGGUUAGGAUUUCUAAAUUAAUAAGGAUUUUUACAUUAAAAAGAAAGAGUUAAGAUCAACUGGGUUUUGUAAGAUUUUGAUAUAUAUCUUAGUUUGCGAGUUUUUUGGGAUUAUAUUGUAAUCUUAUUGUUUUAUCCUAAAAUUGUCAAAAAAAGAAAUUAGUAAUUUAGUAUGGAAAUUUUACUCCAAAGAUUAUUGAUUAAAAAUUAUUUUACUAAUACCAACGUGUAAGAGUUAAAGGCAUAAAAUUGAAAUUAAAGUAAGUUUAUUAUUUUGGAUUUUGUUAAGUAAUGACAAGAUUAAUAAUUGAAAUUAAUGUAAAAAGAAGUGUAAAAACUUUAAAACUUUAAAAUAUCAUUUCAUUAUUAGUUUCCACUUGCCAACAUAGACUUCUCAUUCUAUUCUAACAAGUUUUUUGUACUUUUAUAUAUAUAUAUUUCAUAAACUUAACAAAGGAUACAAACAGCAAAAGAAAAAAAAAAUUGAGCUACUAAACCUCAAUAUAAAUUUGGGGUGAAUUGUCAAGGUCUAUUAAGGAGCAUGGGGAAGUACUGUAUCACAGAUCAAUGUGAAGAUGUAUAUAUAUUUAUAGUAUAGAACCUAAGAGAACGUUUCUUUCUAAGUUAGGUAAACAUUUCUGUCAAAGUUGAUGAAAUUUUACUAUAAUUUAUAUACACAUGCUUUCAGUGUGCAUAUAAAUUAUACGUGGAGAUGAUUUUUAACUUAUAUCUUGCUUUUUAUAUGUGAUUUAAUAUUGUUUUGGAUUAUUGAUUAUGACUUAUGAAUUAUCAUGCAUGGAACUAAUCAAAAUGAUAUAAUUAAAUUAUAUUAAUGAAUUUGAGAUAGACAUGGCAAUUAUUAAUUUAAAAUAUCUUAUAUGAACAUAAAAUUUUAAAUAUAGACUCAUAAUUUAUAUUAAAAUAAUAAAAUUAAAAAAGUACGUUUAUCUCAGAUUUAUGCCUAGGGCCCAAAUUUUGCUGAGAGACGGCCGGAUGUCAUCACAUGCAAGAAAGCUAGGAAACAAAGCUAAAGUUUGCUUCUUGUGUGGGAAGAGGUACUUCCGUGCUUGACUGAAAGAAAGGAUUUUCUACAAGAAAAAUUGUCCCCUUGUUUGUAAAGCCUCAAGUUGCGACAGCAAUAACGACAAAAGUAGGCCAAAGAAUUUGUCAUUAUUAUGAGACUAGAGAGGUUUUACUGAGAAGUUUUCCGAGCGUGAUAUCAGCAUUCGCUGUAUCACAGUGAUACAACAAAUGGUUUGAACACAGUGAUCUAGAACCCAUUAGCUCAAAUUUCAUUGAUCUGAACACGAUGAUCCUCAUCCGCAGACCAUUUUAGGGAAUAAUUAAUUCUAGCGAUUUUUUAACUGCAUGUACGAAGAACUUCAUCAAAAUUCGAUUAAGUGUAUCUUAACCAAUCUUGAUCAGUAUGCGACUGAUGAUUCUAUUUGAUAAAAGUAAUGCGGUGGCCCAACUUUAUCUUAAUUUCUAUGUUGAAAGUAAUCAUUAUAUUAUUCUAUAAUUAUAAAUGUAGACUAUGGAAUCAAGAUAACUUUGAUAUGCUGAGAUCAAAAGAGGGCGGCCACUUUAGUAGUGGACUAUAUAUACUAAAUAAAGCUGAUCGAUUAUUACAUUGGAAAAUAACAUUGAACCUAUCAUGAAAGACAACCCUACUGGACCAUGCCCCGAGUACUAAAUGCUGAUAAAAAACAAGUACAUGUUCCAAAGGAAUUGAGUCCAUAUAUACACAUUAGUGCUCAAAGAGAAAAACUAUAUAUCCACCGCUUAACUACAGUGAUCCUUUGAGCAGAAGUUAGCCAUGUAUUUCCUUUUCCAAUACCUAAACAUCACCACGGUCGGAGUCUUUGCCACACUUUUCCUUUCCUACUGUCUAUUAUUAUGGAGGUCUAGAGCUGGUAACAAAAAAAUAGCACCUGAAGCUACUGCUGCAUUGUCACGACCCAAAUUCCGGGUGACCCAUAAUUUGGCCCGUGACCCCAGGUCAAAGGUUUGACCCUAAGGGUUACUCCUAUUCCACGUUGGCAGUCAACUAAAACACUCUGAAAUUUUUUUUUUUCUCACAUAUAAGUCUCACUAGGUUCUCACCAACUAACAAUAUUUCAACCCUUACUCAAACACAUUAAGAUUUAAUAAAUAUCAUUGCAUUCCAAAAUAAAAUUUCAUAAAAAUCCCCUUAAUCGAAUUAAGGUCUUAUUACAUUAUCCAUAAUUCACUUAUUACAAGAUCUCAAUACCACAAACAUAAUAAAAAAAUAAAACACAUUCCACUAAACCGCUCCAAGGGCAUCCUGAAGUCCUCCCUGUCCCACCUGUGGAUCCUCAGGAGUGAUAUCUGCAUCUAAAAAUAUAUAUAUAAAAAAAAAGGGUGAGCAUUUCCACAUUGCUCAGUAGGGUGCCUAACACCCAAAGGGUUAAUGGGGGAUUACUAUAUUUCAAUAACCCAAACACAACAGUUUACCAAUAUAAAUCAAGUCACACAAUUUAACAUAUAAUAUUAUACUCAAUCCCACAACAUCCAAUCAUUACAUAUUAAAUUACCACCUACAUCUAUAAGUUCUUCAUCUUUUUAUAAAGGAGCUAUAGAAAUGUUAAAAAGUCGAAAGAAGACAACAAAUAGUUCUCCAAACAACACAACUGAUUUAGAUAGAUAUCUUAAUAUUGAUUUAAUUUCAUUUGAAGAUGAUGAAGAUUUUGAUAUUUUAAUAUGGUGGAAAUCACAACAACACAAAUAUCUUGUGCUUUCUAUCAUUGCUCGUGAUGUACUAACAGUUCCUGUGAGUACAGUUGCAUCAGAAGUUGCUUUUAGUGCAGGUGGAAGAGUAGUUAGUGAUAAACGAUGCAGCUUAGCGCCGGAUUCUAUUGAAGCAAAUAUAUGUCUGAAAGACUGGGCAAUAGCAGAUAAAAGGAUAUUUGAUUCUAUUCAAGAAGAAAAUAUGCUUGUCGAUAUGGAAAAACUAAAAUCAUCAGAUCUUCAUGGAUUUGCGAUAGUUAGCCAUCACCGCUAAGAGAUAAUGAUUAAAAUAUUUUACUAAAUGUAUGUCAUAUUUUUAUUUUUAUUUUUGUGGUUGAAAAGUACAAAUGAUUGACAAAUAAGUAGGUGCCAACCUAGUUGAGAUGUAUUUAUUUUGUAGUGAUGUAAACUUUUUCCACAUUUUCAAAUGUAAUGUAUAUAUUCAAUGAAUAAAAUAGUUAGCAAUGAAUAUUUUUAUUAAUGUAGCAUUUUCUAUUUUUUGAAUAUAUUUUUAUAUAUAUAUAUAUAUAUUUUUAAGUGGCGGGCCUACGGGUGGGCCCACGGCCGGGCCGGGCUUAAAUUGGGGCCCAUCCAAAAAUGGGCUCGGGUCGGGCUUUAGCCUACUGGGCCGGGCCGCGAGCUUUUUGGAGACCCUUAAUUUUUAUAAAUUACAGAAAAGAAAGAAAGAAAAAAAAAAAGAGAAAUCUACAUAUAGCUGCAUUUGUGUUUGUCAUGGAAAAUGAAAAAUAUUGCUAGAGUUUAUAAUGUAAAACAAAAUGCAAAUGUGAAACGCAAAGCAUAUAAGCUAUUUUAGGGUAAAAUCCAUGAAUGACCAAAUGGCCCAAAAAAAAGAUCAAAUUGGAAAUACGAUCGGUCAACGGUUGAAUCGAUUGGUGCAAUCCAAUUUUCAAAACCAUGAAAAUUUUAAUAUAUGACUUAAGCAUGUAAGUUUGAUAUAACAACGAGUAAAAAAUAAAUUAUAGAAUCCCUUUAGAUGAAAAAAGAUUUUAAUAAUUAUAAAUUUUUAUGAGAUGGAUAUGAUUUAUUAAGAUAAUUUUAAAAAAUAAUAAAUAAAAUUUAAUAUUAAAUUUUAUUUAUAAGAAUAAAAUAUCUUAAGAUAAUUAUGAGGGUAGGUAGAGGAUGCUAUUUUUAUGAGAAGCAUAAUAUGAUGCGUUUUGCAUUAAAAAGUCAAAUUCAUCCACACAUGUCCAUGUCUAUGAAACACAUUACACCGAACAUUAUUUUCAAAUUCGGACAUUAUUUUCAAACCCAACCUACGUAAGGCAUGUUUUUUUUUUUUUUUUUCUUUUUAAUUAUUAAAUUAGUUGUAUUUUGGUUCAAAACUCACGUGGGAAGAAGACUAGAGGGGGAACAUUUUUGUUGCGAAGCUAUACGGAAUAAAAUUUAUUCAGAAGCCGGUCAAAACUCAAAUUUAUCUGCGGAACUUUUGUACUUAUCUUUUGACAAUUGGAAUGCUUCCCUACAAAUUAACUAAAUUAAUAGUCUCCUUGUUUUAUCAGAAGCGAAGGAAAAAGUAGGACUCAUGCAUCGUACAACACAAAUAGGCAGAUCUUUAGUCAUAGAUGGUGCAUGCCGUAAAGUAGCCGUCUUGAGCUUGGUAAGAAACCAAGCUAUUAAAACUUGACUUGAACUGUUCAUUCUCAAGGGGGUAAGUGCCAGCCAGGGUUCAAAUUUUAUGAUGCGGGCAUGCAAGACUUAUACCAAUCUGCCGUUCUAAUAAUAGAAUGUAGAAGACACCAAGCACCUCCUGCAUGCAUCUUGAGGCGGUGUAGACACGCAUCCCAAGGCGAAGUUGUUCUCUACGACCUAAGGAUCAAUUUAGUAAUUGUUUUAAAAAAUAGUUUUUUGAGGUCAAUUUUUGAAAAUUAUUUUUAAAAUUUUUAAAAUAAAAAUAUGUUAGAAAACCUAAAAUAUAACAUGUUUUUAAAUUUUUUAAAUAUAUUUUAAAAAUAAUUUUUAUAUAUUUUUAAUUCUUAUAUUUAUAUAAUUAUUUUUUAAAACAACGGUUAGAAAACAAGUAAAAACAAAUAAAUUUUUUUUAAAAAAAAACAUUCUAUUUUAUGUUAUUAAUAACUUUUAAUUAUCAAAAGUUUUAUUUUAUAUUUUUUGUUUUAAAGAACAAAAAGCCUGCUCAAAAAAACAGUUGCCAUAACUUUUUUCUGAUCUGUAGUGAUCCUAGGAAGGCUGUUUUCUAAAUAUAGUAAUAUAAUAAAAAAAUGUGGUCAUAGUAAGAAAAUACCGUUUGGACAUGUCCAUGGUAUUAUGCAUAUGCUUGAACAGGGAAGCUACCCACAGUUUAACCACAGUAAUCCAAUAGCAACAUCUAAGCUACCAUGGAUUUCCUUCUCCAAUGCCUAAACCCUGCCAUGGUUGGAGCAUUUGCAAUACUUGUCCUCUCCUACUACCUGUUAUUAUGGCGGUCUGGAGCUGGUAAGGGCAGAAUGGCACCUGAAGCUGCUGGUGCAUGGCCCAUAAUAGGUCACCUACACCUCCUAGGUGGGUCUAAGAAUUUGCCCCACUUACUUUUGGGAACCAUGGCCGACAAGUAUGGAGCAGUAUUCAGCGUUCGGCUGGGAUUGGAAAGAGCUGUGGUGGUGAGUAGUUGGCAGAUGGCCAAGGAAUGCUUCACCACCCAUGACCUGGCUCUGGCCUCCCGUCCUCAACUUGUAAUCUCCAAACAAUUGGGAUAUAACGAUGCCAUGUUUGCUUUCUCUCCUCACGGUGCAUACUGGCGGGAAGUGCGAAAGAUAGCCACUCUAGAGCUCCUCUCGAACCGCCGGCUAGAGUUGCUGAAGAACGUCCGAAUCUCAGAGGUGGAGACAUGCAUGAAGGAACUAUACAAGCUUUGGGCUGAGAAGAAAAACGAGGCAGGCGUUGUUUUGGUGGACAUGAAGCAAUGGUUUGGGGACUUGACUCUGAACGUGAUUCUUAUGAUGGUUGCUGGAAAACGAUAUUUCGGUUAUACAGCCGAAAGUCAAGAGAAAGAGACCCAGCGGUGCCAGAAAUCGAUUAGGGAAUUCUUUCGUUUGUUGGGUCUCUUUGUGGUGUCGGAUGCCCUUCCUUUUCUUGGCUGGCUUGACGUGGGUGGACAUCUGAAAGCCACGAAGAAGACUGCAAAAGAAAUGGAUGGUAUUGCUCAGGAAUGGUUAGAGGAACACCGACAGCGAAAAGAUUCGGGUGAAGCUAAUGGUAACCAGGACUUAAUGGACGUGAUGCUGUCCAUUCUGGCUGGCACGGACCCUACCGGCUAUGAUGCCGAUACAAUCAACAAAGCCACAUCCCUGGUAUGCACAUUAUUCCUCGAGCACCUUUAUAUGCUACUAAAAAAAAUGACAUUCUUCUCAAGACAUAAUUUCAUGCUUUAUCCUCUUUAGUCGGGACUCUCAGACUCUCGAGAGUACUCACACCUUCAAUGGAAUAACUUUCUGUUGCUGGUUGAAGCUAGUCAAAGUCAAUACUUUUUAAAAGAUAAUAUUAGAUUUAUAAAAGUUUUAUCAAUUAUGAAAGAAUUUUUUGCAUCAGCGCAAAUAGAAUUUUUUUACUUAAAAAUAAAACGUUUUUGAUUUCAUAUUGUGUUUUAUUAUACGUUGUUAUUUGUCAAAAGAGUAACAUGAGAAGCUUCGACAAGCAAUUAUAAUGAAAUACAACCCACCUGAGAAUCUGAGCGUAACUAGAAUUAUGACGAACCUCUGGCUUGGGUGUUUGGGCUGGGCUGGUAAUGAUCCAACUCUCCUCUGGGUGGCUGGCCCAUUCUUGUCAGAAGAUCAUGAAAGUGUGUUCAUUAUUCCUCAUGCUUUGAGGCCUCAUUGACUGGGCUUCUUGAUCUUGAGUUGGUUAGACAAUUACGCCUUUCAAAGACUCCUCGUCAUAAUAAAUACAGGGGCUUUCCCUCGUAAAUUUAAGGAUUUUUAUAUUUUAUAUUUUAUUUUAAUUUUGAAGGCCAACAUGAACUUUUAUAAAAUGCUAAAUUUAUGAGCGAGUUUCAAAUUCAAGCUACUUUUGAUCGACGGACACUAAACUCUAACUCUAGAAGCAGACUCCUAUUGGUUUCUAAGGGGCACUCACUCUUGAAAAUAAAUAAAUAAAUAAAUUGAAGCCUUUUCCUCCUUAAUCCUGUUAGUAGUUAUAAUUUUAUUAACAUUAGUUAAUGUUUUGUACUUGACAGAUUUUGAUUGCAGGAGGCAGUGACACUACAUCUGUUACUCUAACAUGGGCGAUCUCACUUUUAUUGAAUAAUCCAUGUAUGUUAAGAAAAGCCCAAGAAGAAUUGGACACUCAUGUUGGUAAAGGGAGAUUGGUAAAUGAAGUGGAUUUAAGCAAGUUGGUCUACCUCCAAGCAAUUGUUAAAGAGACAUUGAGGUUAUAUCCCGCAUUUCCACUUUCAGGACCACGCCAAUUUAACCAAGAUUCCAUUUUAGGUGGUUACCGUAUCCCAAAAGGCACUCGUCUUGUGUUGAACCUCACUAAGAUCCAAAGAGACCCAAGUAUAUGGUUGAACCCAACAGAGUUUCAACCAGAAAGAUUCCUCACUACUCACAAAGACAUUGAUAUGAGGGUCAAAAAUUUUGAGUUUACACCAUUUGGUGGUGGAAGAAGAAUUUGCCCUGGUGCAACUUUUGCCCUUCAAGUGCUACACUUAACAUUAGCCAAUUUCUUGCACAAAUUUCAACUUUCGACUCCAUCAGAUGCAACAGUUGAUAUGAGCGAGAGCCUUGGGAUAACAAACAUCAAAUCCACUCCACUUGAAGUUCUCAUCUCGCCACGUUUGUCUUCUUGUGAUCUUUAUGAGUAAAACCAAUGAAUGUUGAGAGAGACUAUUUCAAGAAACCUAGUAUUAUAUAUAGGAAAUAAAAAUACAAAUAAAAUUUGUACAUGUGGUACAAGUUUAAAAUAAUAACUAAUGAGUACUAUACUUUUUUAAUUUUAUCUUAGCUUGAAUUUUGGUGUUUUUUUUUUCUCCUUGUAGAAGAAAAAGUGGCAUAUAGCAUUUUUCUUUCGGUAUAGAUAGUGAAAAAUAAGUAUGCACUUGACCAUAUGCAUACGUGUGCAAUAGACUUAAUGAGUUGCAAGUUGAUAAUUGAUCUGUCUUUUGGUAGAUUUUAGUUGCCUUCUUGUACAUCAUUAAAGUAGAAGAUAAAGACGAAAAUUAUAACUUCACCCAUUCAAUUAAAAAUCAAUUUAAUUGAAUUUAAAGAAGAAAAUGGUUGGUUCGGUUUGACUAACAAUAAUUGAUUCGUCGGUUUAUUUUGUUUCAAUUUGUUUUGGUUUGUUGUAACAAUAAAAAUCAUUUUUUUUGGUUAAUUUGGACUAAAAAAAAAAAACCAUGAUUAGAUAAAAACUAUAAAUGUGCAUAUGAAGUUGUAUCGAAUGUGAAAGCUUUUCAUCAAAUUAAUAAUAUAACCAAUACUCAUAUUAUUGAUGUAAAUAUAGAACUUCUAGAUAAGUUCAAUUUGUUUUACUAUUGAUUUUUUAAAUAGGUAACCGAAUUGGUCUAAUUCAAUUUUAUAUUUUAAAACCCAAUAUUAUUAAAAGAAAAAUUGCUAAAAAUUAGUGGAUUAGGGUUAGUUCAUUGAUUCUGUCUACACCCCAAAAAGAAGAGUGUCCACUUCGUAUUGUCAACUUUGUGUGCUUAUAAGUUACAAUUUUGCACCAUGAGAUUCACAUUUGUACUUAUUAUUGCUAAUUUUGUGUGGUCAUAAGUUAUAAUUUUACCCCACUAGAUUCACAUUUGCUAGCAUCAUAAUUGACUUUCUACAUCCAUGCAUUCAUGAAUCAUUACAUUUCAAUACUGUAUUACCAUUUUGGUGCUAAACAAGAAGACUCGUCUUUAAAGUACUCAAGCAAACCCUCACCAAUUUUAAUCAUUUUUCAAUUUAGAUGAAUGGGAGCAACAACACUAGAACAAUGAAGUAGAUGAUGAAAUAAAAUAAAAAACAAAGAUAGUAUACAAACUCUAAUUUUAUUGGUUUGUCAUAGUCUUGACUUAUAUGCACUCUCCUCAAACUUUAAAAUUCUGCUAACUUCUAAUCCUUCAAGCCAAUCUUAAACUCUUACAUUUUGAUUCUUGAUUCCAAAAGACCUUCUUACACUUGCCUCAAUAGAUUCUUUACUUUUGAAUACACUAGUCACAAGUUGUUAACAAUUGAACAAAAUUAAUCUUUCUAAAUCUUAAUUAGUACAAGUUUAAACUUGAGAAAAUACAAGAGGAAAUUAGGAUGUUUUGUCUUAGAUAAGAUUUAUAAGUUAAUCAAGAAUUUUACAUUGAGAACAAAGAGUUAAGAUCAAUUCAGUUAAGUGAGAUUGUAGGAUCUAAUUAGUUUGAGAUCUUAAGCGGUCCUGUUAUAAUCUUAUUAUUUUAUUCCAAAAUUGCCUAAGAGGGAAGUAGUAAUUUAGGACAACAAUUCCCUCCCAAAGUUUAUUGGUUUGAAACUAAUACUUUAUUAUACCAGCAUGUUUGAGUUGAAAACACAAAAAUUGAAGCUAAGGCAAGUACUUUACAAUUCGGAUUGGGUUGCAUCGAGCUUUGGUGGUAACUACUUGGGAGAUGGCUAAAGAAUGCUUGACCGCCAAUGACCAGGUUUCAUCCUCGCGUCCCGAACUUUUAGCCGCAAAACAUUUGGGCUACAACUACGCCAUGUUUGGUUUCUCUCCAUACGGUUCUUACUGGCGUGAAGUGCGCAAGAUAAUCAGCCUAGAGUUACUCUCUAACCGCUGCCUAGAGCUGCUGAAGGACGUCUGUGCUUCAGAAGUGGUGACAUCCAUAAAAGAGCUAUACAAGCUCUAGGCAGAGAAAAAAAAUGAAUCGGGCCUUGUCUCGGUGGAAAUGAAGUAGUGGUUUGGAGAUUUGACUCUGAACGUAAUUCUUAGGAUGGUGGCAGGGAAGCGUUAUUUCAGUGCUUCAGAUGCAAGUGAAAAUAAACAGGCGCAGAGGUGCUGGAGAGUGUUCAGGGAAUUUUUUCAUUUGGUAGGGCUCUUUGCGGUGGCGGACGCUAUUCCUUUUCUUGGAUGGCUCAACUGGGGGAGACAUGAGAAUACCCUAAAGAAGACAACAAUAGAAAUGGACAAUAUUGCUCAAGAAUGGUUAGAGGAGCACCGUUGGAAAUCAUGAUAAUAGUACGCAAGACUUCAUGGAUGUGAUGCUGUUAGUUCUUGAUGGCAAAAAUCUUGGUGAGUACGAAAGCCACAUGCUUGUGUGGACCCGCAUUUUUCACGUGCACCUCCACUCAAUCGGCGAGACUCGUUUUUUUUUGGUGAAGAUGUUGUUUUUGGAAAAGUCGGAGUCGCCACUUAUUUUAUUUUAUUUUAAAGGGAAAAUAAAACAAGAAAUAAAACCCUAAAAAAUGACUCCAUAGUUUUUUGGAAAAGCAUGUCUUUGAAAAACCCGAGUCUAGGUCCGGGGAUCAGGUUACUUAUUGGGAAGGUACCUCCAGGAGAUAGCACCUCUCUAAGCCCUACAAAGGUCCCUACUGACUAUGUUGAAGGAAAUGUGGCAAUCAACUGAUUAAUUGAGGGUACCUAGGUAGGCUAAGGUGAUCUCAAAACUAGCAUGCUAAACAAGAAAAACCAAUCACGCCCAUAAAGGAAAGUUAGGAUGCGUACCUGGACCACUUCUUAAGCGCUAUCAUAAAACAUCAAUGGUUAGUUUAGAUAAUAUAUCACUCAGUAUGUGUUUUAUCAUGAAUGAUCAAACAAUGUAGCAAAUAUCAAGACAUCCCAAGCAUUCUCAAACAUAGGUAUAAAUCAUAAUGACGAUCAUAUUUACAAAAUUUGGAAGGUAGGUGACAGGAGACGUACCUGGAUAGCAUAGAUAACUUGUAACGUGCUUUCACAAGACAUGAGAGGUUAGAUAACAAACAAUAAAAUAAGAAGUCCUAGCAUGUUUGUUAUCUAAUUAGCAUAGAAAAAAAAAAUUAUCAUAGUAUAUGAAACCAUCAAUUAUCACUUAUAUCUUCUGUAUAAUUUCUAAAAAAUAAAUAGACAUGAUUUCCUUAAAUAGCAAAGGGGGCAACAAAGAUGAGUUUUGAAAAUUUUCCUUAUGUAGGGGCUUCACCAAUUCCCCGAUUGAUAUACACAAAUCUAGUUUAGAAUUAUCCCAUUUGUUUGGGACCACAAGCUUGGAUUCAUGUCUUACUCAAAACUGUAAUUUUAUUUGAAAUUUAAGAAAGAUGCAAACAGAUCAAAACAUGGUUGCACAUUAUUUGAGAAAAUGAGAUUUCGAUUCUAAGAACUCUAAAUGAAUUUUUGAAAUGGAUUCCUAAAGGGAAUGAGAUUUUGAUUCUAAGAACUUUAAAUGAAUUUUUGAAAUGGAUUUUUAAAGGGAUUUUUUUUAGAAUAGUGUUAUGUUUUAAAAAUAAAAGAAAUUAAUUUCAAAACAAUAAAACGUAUGAAUCAAAUACCAAGCAAAACAAAAGAGAACAAAAUCACAAAGUAGAAUUUUUGACAACCAAGAAAAUUGAAGUGGUGAGAAUGGAAGCCAAUCUUCACUAUUUUUCGAUGGUCUCCAAAAAGUAAAUUUUACUAGAGACUACCAAAGCAAUAAACUAUUCAAACUUGGAUCAAAUAAGCUAACGAAAUACCCACCAAGAAUUAAUGACGAAAAUUCAAGAAACACAUCUACUAAGAAUAACAAUCAAGAAUUAGCAUGAGAUCAAUUAAACACACAAACGCAUCUAGAUUAACUAAAAUGAACCAAAUUAAAUCAAAGCAAACAAUAAUUUUCAAACAUAGAAUUAACUUUAUUAAUGAACUAAUAUUAUAUAAAAUACCUAAAUCGAAUAGAUGUGCAAAACUAAAUCAAAGUAAACUAAAGGCAUGAAUUCUCAAAAAUAGAAUUGAUUUUAUUAAUGACCUAAAAUUAUACAAACUCCUAAAAUAAUUAAAAUGAAUCAAUUUAAACGAAAGGAAACUAAAACAAAAUAUGAAUUCAGGGAAUCUAAUUUCGAAAUAAACUUACAUUAUUAAAAUGAAAUCUAGGCUUAAAAACUAUUAAACACUAAUUAAAGCCAAUCUAAACUUAAAUUCUUAACACACAUGAUCAAUUAUUUUAACAAACUAACAUUUUACCUUAACCACAAAUUAAAUUAAAAAACUACUUGAGACUAAAUUUCUAACCUAUAAAAUUAAACUCAUAAUCAAAUGGAUAAGUUGAUGACACAGACAAAUAAAUAUGAAUAAAAUAAAAUAUGAAUGAAAUGAAAUACGAACACAAGGAAUUAAAUAAUUUUUUCUUUUUUUUAAUAAACUUAUGUUAGUAAAAUAAAUUUGAGCUUAACAAACAUUUUUAUCACUAAUUAAGGCAAGUUUAAAAUAUAAUACUUAACACAUAAAAAAUCAAUCAUUUCAACAAACUAUAAUUUUAACUAAACUUAAAGUCAAUUCAAACAACCUUCAAUAGAUUUUUUUAUUUUUAUUUUAAACUGAAUUUUUAACCCAUAGAUUCAAUCUCAUUGAUAAAUAAAUAAAUAAAUAAGUUACAAAGCAUUAGCUUAGUAGCAAAUAAAUAAAUAAACAACUAAUAAUUAAAUGAAUCACAACUAAACUAAAUAAAGAUCAAACUAUAUUAUUUUUUUUAUUUUUCAAAAGUAGAAUUACAUGAAUUUGUAUUUUUUGAAUUUAAUAUAAUAUACCAAACUAAACUUAAACACAAUUCUCAUUCUGCCAUAUUAAAACAAAAAAUGCAUGGAGUUAGUAAAUAAAGUCAAAUGACACAAUAUAAUAAUAAUUCCACUAAAAAACCAAUCAAACUAAUUAAAAUUCUAAAAAAUAUCAACUAAAACAAGAUCAAUCAAAAUUAGCGUGUAUAUAUAUAUAUAUAUAUAUAUAUAUAUAUAUAUAUAUAUAUAUAUAUAUAUAUAUAUCUUUAUUUUUAGUUAUUUAUUUAUUAAAACACGAAUACAUCAACACGAAACGAAAUAAACUAACCAACUUACAUUCUAAAACUAAAAGGAUAAAUCAUGAAUUAAAAUUAACAACCUUUGGAUAUGAAAAGAGUGGCAUGGAAUCAAUUGAAAUAAUAAACUAAAAUUUAAUAACAUCUAAACUAAAAGAUAAAUUAAAACUAAAUUAAAUGAAAUUAUGAACUUCCUAAUUGAGAAAAAAAAUAAUAAUAGUAAUAAAUCUAAUCAAAAUUCUAAAUUUUAAACCAUCAUCAUGAAUUGCCCAAACUCUUAAAAAAUCCUAACCUUUCCAUUAUCAACAAAAAUUGCCUAAACCAAUAUUUAAAAAAUCUAAUUUGUCAAACUAAGAAUAAUAAAUUGUAACUACAUUAAACAAAAAUCAUAAUCUUCAAGCUAGAAUAAUGAAUCAAUAAUAAUUAAUUUAUUUAGAUAAGAAAAAUUAAAAAAAUAAAUUAAAGAUUAACAUCUAAGCUAAACAUGAAUUUACAAUAAAAAUUUAAAAUACAAAGAUUGAAUGGGAAUAAUUUUAAAACUAAUAAAUUGUCAUCAGGAAAUAUAUUGAUAUUAGAAAUAAUUAAACUAUAUAGAUAAAACUCUAAAACGAUUAUGCAUUGAAUUGAAUAUUUCUUGAAUCAAAAUUGAAAUAGGAAGGAUAAAUUCACAUUUUCCGAAACGUGUAGGUCACUUUCCACUAGUAGGAUUUCUAUUUUUUAUUUUAUUUUAAAAGAAUCAUUGCCAAGGAUGCAUGGUGUGGUGGCUGCCCAUGCACUGUAGCUGAAGACUUCUUCUUGGUGGUCUUUGAAACCUAGGAGCAUGGCUGAAUGUUUCCUUUCUUCCAAUAGUGCAACUGCUCCGGAAGUCCUCUCAACGGUGCGGCUGAUUCAGAAAUCGUCAUCUCAAUGGUGCGGCUGUUUCGGAAAUCUUCCUCUCAAUGGUGCGGCUACACCCUCUCACAUUCCAGAAAAUAAUCUUACUCCUCCCACCUGGAUCCCCUUUAGUGCGGCUGUUGAUCUCCUUCCCGUUUGGUGUCACCCUCUCUUCUGAUGCAUGCUGAAAGCGUCCCAAGAAUGGUGCAGCUGGUCGUUCUUGCUUCUCCAAAGGCGUCAGACCCUCUUAUGCGUGCUGAAAGCGUCCUAAGUAUGGUGCGGCUGGUCGUUCACCCCUCUCCAAAAAAAACUCUCCCCCCUCUCACUUUCUAACCUUCCUCUCCAGUACUCUGCCAACAUGGGAAGACAACUCACCAGCCCGGAGAGCCUCAAUCAUCCACGUCAGUCUAGCAUCAUCAGGACUCUCCUUCCUGAACAUAGUCUUCAUUCCGUCCAAAUACCCAUUGAACAUUUCCUUUUUCCAUGCCAAAAGAACUUUGGUAAUUUUCUUUCUUCAUUCAUUUCCUUCCAUUAGAAGCACAAUCAACACAUGCAUGGGUGCAUACUUGCUUUCCUUCUUAGUUCAUUUUCUUCCAUACGUCCUGUCCUCUUCCAACCACCUUGAAUCCAUCCUUUAACCCGCUGAAUAUUUCCUUUCCAUAAUCACACAUGAAAAUUCCUCUUUUUAAUUUUUUUUUUUGACUGAAUAUCCUCUAUUUCCUGAAAGACUCACACAUGAAUAUCCUUGCCAAUACACGUUUUCAACCUUCCUUUUUCUCUCCAGUGAUGAUUCCUUUGGUGAGUUUCUCUACAAAAAUAUAAAGAAAAUUAGACUUAAUGAAUGAAUCCCAAGGUGUUUUAGAAAAUUAUAAAAUAAAUUAACAAAAUAAUUAAGUAAAUAAUGAUAAUAAUAAUAAUAAUAAUAAUAAUAAUAAUAGUAAAGUGUCAUGCAAUCUAUGCAACCAUGCAAUCAUGUGAGCAACUCAAGUCAUGCAAAGAAUGUCUAAUGGGCCUCGGGUGUAUCUAAUGGACCUAAAGGGUCUAAGUGGACCAAUGAUGGUGCCUAAUGGGCCUAAGUGGGCCUAGGGUGGUGCCUAAUGGACCUAAAGGGUCUAAGUGGGCUUAGGGUGGUGCCCAAGUGUAUCUAAGUGAACCUAAAGUGCUUAAGUGGAUCUAAGUGAACCUAAAGUGUUUAAGUGGAUCUAAGUGAACCUAAAGUGCCUAAAUGGGCCUAAGUCUAAAUUAGGGCUACUAAGAGUCACAAUAGGGUUAAAUGAAUCCCUCUACCAAAGUCUCCGAGGUGGCUCAAAAAAGGUAAGUAGUAUGAGUAGCUAUGGGCCACUAAGGAACUACUGUGGAGCACUGGAAGUGAACUUAAAGACAUGUGCUAAAGGAACAAAAUUGAGGGUCUACAACCUGGUAUGAGUAUUAAUGGAACACCCACGUAACAUUGAUAAAGACAAAUUGCAAGGAUAAGGCAAUGAUCGAACAAAUAACCUAUGAUUAAACAAGAUCAUUCAAAAUCAAUUUUGUAUAUUUUUGUAACCGUUAUUUGAUGUGUUGACUUGAACAAUUCUGUAACUGUUGUAUAGUUGUAGGCAAAUUGAUGUACAUUGCCGCAAAUAGUUUUUCUUAGCUAUGCAUAUAAGUAAACUCUUAUUACAUCAAUAAAAGUGUGAAAAUUUUCAUUGAAAACAACAAUGUUAUUUCUUCUAUACUAUUUAUAUUUGCAUAGGGCUAGCUUCUUUUCCAUAGUUUUUCUUUUGUUUAUAUGUUUUAAUUGAUGCAUAUUCACUUUCUUAUUCUCUUAAUUAAAUUGCAAUAAUUAAAACUCUAAUUUAAAUAAAUUUUAAAAUUUAUUUUUAACUAAAAACAACAAUAUACAUAUACAAAUAUAUACUGCUUAAGUAAUUAAUUUUUUUAAAAAAUAUCCUUUGAGAACAUCUCAGACAAACUAAGACAUGCUUCUAGGGAAAUCUAAAUAUAAUGUUUUUAAAAGCUACCUUGUAAUUUUAUUUUCGAGCAUGUUGCAUUAUAUAUACUUUCCUUGAAUUGAUUUUCCAAAUUUUAUUUUUGUCAACAAUAAGGGUUAUCUACGUUUUGGAAGAUAUCUUUAAUUUCCCCUCCAAAGAAUAAGUGAUCUUGAAACUUAUAAGUUAAUUAUGUUCACUUGAUCGAAUAAGAGAUUUGAACAAUCUUGUAAAAAGAUGUUAAGCAGAUGGUUGAUUUCGAAAUUAUCCUUUAAACUAUAAAGGGAAAUAGAAAAAAAUACUAUUAUUUUGGUACAAGACCAUAUUGUUUAGUAGUGUCUCUAGGGAGUUCCAUUAGAUGCUAUCAAACAAUUAAUUUGGUGUCUCACUAACGUAAUUUUGAGUUGUUGAAUUUUGGGUUUUGCAAACUCUAAUUGCUGGAGGUAGUGACACAACUGUUGUCUCUCUAACCUGGGUAUUCUCUCUUUUACUCAACAACCGCGACACCUAAAAAAAAGCUAAAAAAAAAAAAUAUUCAAGUUGGCAAGGAAAGAUUAGUGAAUGAACAAGAUAUAAGUAAGUUGGUCUAUCUUCAAGCCAUUCUUAAAGAAAUUGAGAAAAUAAAGGCUAAUCUUAAAAGAUAAAAACACCCAAGAGGGGGGUGAAUUGAGUUUUUAAAAAUUAUUUUUAAACACAACAAAUUUAAGCAUAAGAGAAUCAAAUAUAAAAAGAUAAGGUUAGAGAAAUCAAACUCAGAUUUUAUAAUGGUUCAACACUUCCUUACCUACAUCCACUCUCCUCAAGCUCUUAACCGAGUGAGGGUUCCACUAACAUGAAGUUUCAACCAAACUUCUAAUUACAUUUACACUUAGAUUCCGGCUCCAAUGGGCUCUUACACAAUCUCUUCAAGUUUCAACUCACUUAAAGACUUUAACACUAAGUUAACAAGUAUGAAUCUCUCAACUUAGCUCAACAAUGACUCAAAUACAACCCAAAGCUAGGAUGAAUCACAAAGGUGCACUAAAGGAUAUGUAAAUGGAGAUUUAAUGCACCAAGAAAAGAAAUGAGAGCUUUUAAGGCAAGAACAAAUAGGUAAGCAAAUAAAUGCAUGUGUUCUCUUACUCAUAAAUGAAGUGGAACUCUUUAUUUAUAGGUUUUUAACAUUAUAAGCCAAAAAACCAAAAAAACAGUCUCAAUCGGUUGAGCUGAGGGUCAAUCGGUUCACUAGCCAUUGCAGCAUUUAAUGCUUGUCAGGUGACAGUUACCCUCGACCGGGAAGACAAAUCCCUCGACUGGGAAGGAAAGGCUACUGAAAAAGAGAGAGUCUUUUUUGCACCUCUCGGUCGGACCUCAACAGGAAAGGGGGAGCCGGUCGACCGGUACCCUAGUCAAUUGAGCCUGUUUGGACAUAGCCUUGAUCGGUUCACAAUUUUUUACCCGAAAACCUAUCUUUUUCUAGUAUUUUUGCUUCAAACACAUAGGUAAGGUCUUCAGAUAAAAUAUAUGCCAAUUUUGAAACGUUUAGCUUAAGGUUCAUUUGAUAGAUCUCGGAUUUUGGUGAAAAUGUAACUUUAAAGCAUAAAUCGAGUUUUUCAAAGAUGCAUGAAAUAAUAUGUAAAUCCUAAGUGUAUCAAUGCAUUCAUCUUACAUAUGUUUCCUAUCAUUAAAGGUCUUUCCAAAAGUCUUGAUCUUGCAUCCAUUAGGUCAUUUGAUGAAUUUCCAAAUUAACACCUGAAAUUUUUUAUAAUUUAAACCAAUUAGUAACUUAACUAUGAUUUGUUAUCAUCAAAACAUGAUUAGGAGAACCCUUGGGCUAACAGAGACAUUACGGUUAUAUCCACCAAGACCACUUGGAGGACUAUGCCAAUUUAUUGAGGAUUGCACCUUGGGUGGAUACCAUGUCUUUAAAGACACUUGUUUAAUAAUGAACCUUUCGAAGAUCCAAAAUAUCCAAGAAUCUAGUUAGAUUCGAUAGAAUUCUAACCAGAGAGGUUUCUCAUCAACCAUAAGAAUGUUGAUCCUUAGGGAAAACAUUUUGAAUUUAUACCAUUUGGAGCUGGUCAAAGAGCAUGUCUAGGAAUAGCUUUUGGUCUUCAAAUAUUAUAUUUAGCAUUAGCUAGUUUCUUACAUGCAUUUGACUUUUCAACUCCAUCAAAUGAACAUGUUGAUAUGCGAGAGAGCUUUGGACUUACAAAUAUGAAAUCUAUCCCACUCGAAGUUUUCAUUUCUCAAAUCUACCCCACUUGAAAUCCUCAUUUCUCUACACUUAUCUUCUUGUAGUCUUUACAACUAAAACAUUGAAAUGAAGAGGUCAAAGUUGACCCAGCUAGUCUUGGUUUAAAGACAUAUAGAGUUAGGUUCAAUCAAUCUAUGAUAAGAUUUGAGAUUUGUAUUAAAAGUAGGUUGGACUAAGAAUGAUGUACAAUAAACUAAAGUACUAUCCAUGCAAAUAAAGUAUAACAUUAUAUAUUAUUUGGUUAGCAUUCUGAAAUGUAACAUCAUAAUUAUUUCUUUGUUUUGUCUAAUUUAUCGCCAUUUCACCCCCUCAUCUUCAUCAAAACAAAUAAUAUAUAGUCUUUCUAUUUUUAAAAAUCAAAUUCGAUUCCCAAUUAUAUAAGAAUUUUACUAUUACUUUAUAAUAAACUUUACUUUAGUCUUAAUAACUUUGACUUGUAAAUAUGUUCUCCAUCCUUAAUUAAAUAUACAGAUAAUUUCAUUCAUUUUUUCUAAGAUUGGAGUUAAAUUUACCCAUCCAUACUUAACUUGAAAUUUUCUUAAAUAUCUGUUUUUUUUUCAUUUUUUUUACACGUAUAUCUUUUAAUUUAAAAUAAAAAAUAUUUAAUAAAAUUUCAAAAUAAUAGUUGUCAGACAUAUUUAUGUGACAUUUUCGAAGAGGUGAAUGAAACUAAACUUUUCUUUAAAUAUAAAAUCAUAAAAAUUUAAUAUAUGCAAGCAUGAUCCGGUCUAAAUAUGAUAUAUAAUUUGUGUCAUUUCAAAAAAUCACAGAAGAUCCUUUUGGCAAAGUGGCCCCCCAUUUGAGUUGUAUUCCGUAAUUGGUCACCACAUGUUAUAUCAUUUCAAAGAUUAUGGAGGAUCAUGUUGCCAAUCAUUAUCAGAAGAAGUACAGCUUCCUCUAUAAAACUAAUCAAUACGAUAUUUAGCACAUGCAAACAAAUUUGGAAGGAUCUGAAAGUCAAGUCUACGGGCCACCCCUUUACGACUUGUUCGAAAAAGCACAAAUCAAUGGUGGUGCCACUUGCCAGCAGUCUGUUUCAAUAUCUAAAUGUUACCUCGGUAAGAUUGCUUGACAUACUUUUUGUCUCCUACUAUCUCAUGGAGAUCCAGAGUUGGUAAGAUAAGAAUAGCAUCCGAAGCUGCUGGUGCAUGGCCAAUAAUCGGUCACCUCCUCUUAGGUGGGUCACAACUUCCUGGGAUUUUUUAUAAAAUUACGGUAGAUUUAAAAUUAAUUUUUUUAAAAUGCAGCAUAUUAAUGCUUGACAGCUGACAGUUACCCUCGAUCGGAAAGACAAAUCCCUCGACUGGGAAGGAAAGGCUACUGAAAAAGAGAGAGUGUUUUUUGCACCUCUCGGUCGGACAUCAACAGGGAAGGGGGAACCGGUCGAUCGGUACCCUAGUCAGUUGAGCCUGUUUGGACAGAACCUUGACCGGUUCACAAUUUUUUACCCGAAAACCUUUUUUUUUUUUGGUCUUUUUGCUUCAAACACUUAGACAAUGUCUUCAGAUAAAAUUAUAUACCAAUUUUGAAACGUUUUGCCUAAGGUUCAUUUCAUAGAUCUCGGAUUUUGAUGAAAAUGUAACUUUAAAGCAUAAAUCGAGUUUUUCAAAGAUGCAUGAAAUAAUAUGUAAAUCCUAAGUGCAUCAAUGCAUUUAUCUUACAUAUGUUUCCUAUCAUUAAAGGUCUUUCCAAAAGUCUUGAUCUUGCAUCCAUUAGGUCAUUUGAUGAAUUUCCAAAUUAACACCUGAAAUUUUUUAUAAUUUAAACCAAUUAGUAACUUAACUAUGGUUUGUUAUCAUCAAAACAUGAUUAGGAGAACCCUUGGGCUAACAGAGACAUUACGGUUAUAUCCACCAGGACCACUUGGAGGACUAUGCCAAUUUAUUGAGGAUUGCACCUUGGGUGGAUACCAUGUCUCUAAAGGCACCCGUUUAAUAAUGAACCUUUCGAAGAUCCAAAAGGAUCCAAGAAUCUAGUUAGAUUCGAUAGAAUUCCAACCAGAGAGGUUUCUCAUCAACCAUAAGAAUGUUGAUCCUUAGGGAAAACAUUUUGAAUUUAUACCAUUUGGAGCUGGUCAAAGAGCAUGUCCAGGAAUAGCUUUUGCUCUUCAAAUAUUAUAUUUAACAUUAGCUAGUUUCUUACAUGCAUUUGACUUUUCAACUCCAUCAAAUGAACAGGUUGAUAUGCGAGAGAGCCUUGAACUUAUAAAUAUGAAAUCUAUCCCACUUGAAGUUUUCAUUUCUCAAAUCUACCCCACUUGAAAUCCUCAUUUCUCUACACUUAUCUUCUUGUAGUCUUUACAACUAAAGCAUUGAAAUGAAGAGGUCAAAGUUGACCUAGCUAAUCUUGGUUUAAAGACAUAUGGAGUUAGGUUCAAUCAAUCUAUAAUAAGAUUUGGGAUUUGUAUUAAAAGUAGGUUGGACUAAGAAUGAUGUACAAUAAACUAAAGUACUAUCCAUGCAAAUAAAGUAUAACAUUAUAUAUUAUUUGGUUAGCCUUUUGGAAUGUAACAUCAUAAUUAUUUCUUUGUUUUGUCUAAUUUAUCGCCAUUUUUUCCCUUUCUCUUAUUCCCUCAUCUUCAUCAAAACAAAUAAUAUGUAGUUUUUCUAUUUUUAAAAAUCAAAUUCGAUUCCCAAUUAUAUAAGAAUUUUACUAUUACUUUAUAAUAAACUUUACUUUAGUCUUAAUAACUUUGACCUGUAAAUAUGUUCUCCAUCCUUAAUUAAAUAUACGGAUAAUUUCAUUCAUUUUUUCUAAGAUUGAAGUUAAAUUUACCCAUCCAUACUUAACUUGAAAUUUUCUUAAAUAUCUAUUUUUUUUCCUUUUUUUUACACAUAUAUCUUUUAAUUUAAAAUAAAAAAUAUUUAAUAAAAUUUCAAAAUAAUAGUUGUCAGAUAUAUUUAUGUGAAAUUUUCGAUGAGGUGGAUGAAACUAAACUUUUCUUUAAAUAUAAAAUCAUAAAAAUUUAAUAUAUGCAAGCAUGAUCCGGUCUAAAUAUGAUAUAUAAUUUGUGUCAUUUCAAAAAAUCAUAGAAGAUCCUUUUGGCAAAGUGGCCCCACCUUUGAGUUGUAUUCUGUAAUUGGUCACCACAUAUUAUAUAAUUUCAACGAUUAUGGAGGAUCAUGUUGCCAAUCAUUAUCAGAAGAAGUGCAGCUUCCUCUAUAAAACUAAUCAUAUUUAGCACACGCAAACAAAUUUGGAAGGAUCUGAAAGUCAAGUCUACGGGCCACCCCUUUACGGCUUGUUCGAAAAAGCACAAAUCGAUGGUGGUGCCACUUGCCAGCAGUCUGUUUCAAUAUCUAAAUGUUACCUCGGUGAGACUGCUUGACAUACUUUUUGUCUCCUACUAUCUCAUGGAGAUCCAGAGCUGGUAAGAUAAGAAUAGCAUCCGAAGCUGCUGGUGCAUGGCCAAUAACCGGUCACCUCCUCUUAGGUGGGUCACAACUUCCUGGGAUUUUUUAUAAAAUUACGGUAGAUUUAAAUUUAAUUUUUUUAAAAUGCAGCAUAUUAAAAAAUAUCUUUGAAUAAUAAUAAUAAAAUGACAAAUAAUAAAAAGGAAAGAAAGUUGUCUUGUGGCUAUAAGAAAGAAUAAUAUAAAAGAGAGAGAAGAGGAGAGGCGGAUAGAGAGAAGAGUAGCAGGAAAAAAAAAAAAGAGAACAGGGAGGUGCAUGCUGCAAAUCUUUGGGUGUUCGUAUGACGAGCAAAACGAGUUAUGUUUUGCGUGAAAAUUAAGGUGAAAAUUUUCUUUGACAUGAGGAACAUUCUUUCAAAGUUUGAUUUUAAUUUCAAUGAUUGGAUUUUUUGAUUUGUGGUGAGGUAGUUUAAUCCUAUAACUUUUGUUUAAUAUUUUUUCUUAAAAAAAUAUUAUGGAUUUUAUUACUGGGAGAUAAAUAUGUGUUAUUUGUGUUUUCUUUAUGUUAUUUGAAAUAUGAUUAUUGUUAGGGUGGAUUAUUAUGAUUUUUUUUUUUUUUUAUGUUUGCAAUGAUUUAAUUGAAGAAAAAUUAUUGUGUUGAUUGUUGGAAAUUAUUCAAUAUAUUAAGAAUAAAUAAAAUUUAUAUGAUUAUGGUUUAGACUAUGUUUUGAUGAUAUAUAAAUUAUUGUGAUUUUUUUUGUGGUUAUUUAAUUGAAGAAAAAUUGUUGUGAUGUAAUUGGAAUUAUUGAUUAUGUUUGGAGUAAAUAAAAAUUAUGUCCUAUAAAAUUAUGGAUGAUAACAUGUAAGUUUAUUAUAUUUCAUAUAUGGUUAUAUGAAAAAAAAUGAUGAAAGAUUUUAUGAAAUGGAAAAAGGAAAAAAAAAGAAAAAAAAAAUGAUGAUGAAAAGUAAAAGCCCGUAAAAGACGAAUUAAGAAAGAAAUGAGAUUUCUAGUAUGAAAACUACAAAAAUUUAUCUUAUGAAAACUCUAAAUGGGGAGUGUAUUUGGUACAGAUGCAUAUCAUUAAGUGAAAACCCAAAAACAAUAGUUUGUUACUUUACUGAAUGUAAACAUUUGCAUCAUGUUUUUAUUUGGAAGAAUGACAUGUAUUAAUUACUUGAAUGACGUCAAUGGUAUGUUUGGAUAUAUUAUUAGAGAUUGAAAUGAUUUAUUUAUUUUGUAAAUUUAGAAUUGUUUGAUAUGUUAUUUAUAUAAUUGAAUAAGAAAUGUGAUAAUUUUGAUUAGUUUAAUUUUAUAUGGUUGAUUUUUUAUUUAAUGACUAUAAUGCAUUGUUUUGAAAAUUGGAUCGGACCAACCGGUUCAAUCGCCAACUGGUGAUCUUUCCGGUUCCAUCCUCUCCUUUAAACCGCUAGAUGGUUGAACCGACCACAAACCACUAUUGGCAGUUGGACCGAUGAACCGCUUGGACCAGGUGGUUUUUCAUGAACUGCAUGGCUCAAUUCCAGCCCAGUCUUCCCCCCAUUUUUUCUUUCAUCCAAAUAGUCCAACCUUCCCCUCCUCUUUUUCAUAGGGUCCAAGUGAAAGCCCAAUAAGCCCAGCCUUACAUCUUAAUGGUCUUUAGGCAAAACCUAAACCCAUUUAAACCCCUCAAUGGGUUGUACCUUUGAACCCAUUAGUUACACAAAUAGCUUGAAUGAACUGUGUUUUACGCGCAUAUUCACAUCCACAUCCAUGUGGGAUUGCUGCUAUUUUAAGUCUAAAGAAAAAGCAACGCCACUUAGCUACAACACAAUUUGAUGCAAGUCUAGAAAAUAAAAAAAUCAGCAUGUGUUUCAAAAAAGAUUAAUAAUAUUAAAUAAAAUAAUAUAAUAUUUUCUGAAAUUAUAAAAUUAGUUAAAGUUAAAUAAUUAAAUUUUUACAUAUUCCAUUUAAUAAAGUUCAAAAUAUUAAUAUAUUUAUAUUUAUAUUUUGAUAAUAUCAAAGAUAAAAAAUAAAUAUUUUUAAUUUUUUAAUUUAUAUAAUAUUAUAUUUUGACAUAUAAUUGUUUUCUAUUGACUUAAAUUUUUUAAUUCAUUUGGGUGUAAAACACCUUACAAAACAAUGUGAAAAUGUUCACCCCUUUAUUUUUAUAAAAUUUUUAGAUACAAAUAUAGUUUAUAAGGAACCAUAAGAAAAUCAAGAAGUGUUCCAAAAAGCCUUAACAAAUAAAAGAAAAAUAAUAAUAAUAAUUUUUAAUUUAUAUUACCUUUUUGACAUGUACUAAUUUGAGUUAUAUGAAUUUUUGUAACUUAAAUUAUAUUUUGUUAUUUUGUAAAAUAUUUUUGGAAAUAUUUUUUACUUAGAUUUAUGUAGAUAUUUGGGUUAAUUUGGGAUUAAAUAUUGAUCUAUUCACUGUCAAAUUGGAUAGGAAUAAACUUUAAGGUCAACCCUUUGACCUGAUAUCACUAGUCGGAUUCUGAGUUGCCUUGGGUGUGACUAUAAUGGAUUUUCUUCUCCAAUGCCUAAACCCUGUCAUGGUUGGAGCGUUUGCAAUACUCGUCCUCUCAUACCACCUGUUAUUAUGGAGGUCUGGAGCUGGUAAGAGCAGAAUGGCACCUGAAGCUUCUGGUGCAUGGCCCAUAAUAGGCCACCUGCACCUGUUAGGUGGAUCUAAGAAUUUGCCUCACUUACUUUUUGGAACCAUGGCCGACAAGUAUGGACCAGUAUUCAGCAUCCGGCUGGGAUUAAAAAGAGCUGUGGUUGUGAGUAGUUGGGAAAUGGCCAAAGAAUGCUUCACCACCCAUGACCUGGCUCUGGCCUCCCGUCCUGAGCUUGUGGCCGCCAAAUAUUUGGGAUAUAACUAUGCCAUGUUUGGUUUAUCUCCUCACGGUGCAUACUGGCGUGAAGUGCGUAAGAUAGCCACUCUAGAGCUACUCUCGAACCGCCGGCUAGAGUUGCUGAAGAAUGUCCGAAUCUCAGAGGUGGAGACAUGCAUGAAGGAACUAUACGAGCUUUGGGCAAAGAAGAAAAGCGAAGCAGGCGUUGUUUUGGUGGACAUGAAGCAAUGGUUUGGGCACUUGUCUCUGAACGUGAUUCUUAAGAUGGUUGUUGGAAAACGAUAUUUCGGUUAUGCAGCCGAAAGUAAAGAGAAAGAGGCCCAGCAGUUCCAGAAGGCGAUUAGGGAAUUCUUUCGUUUGAUGGGACUCUUUGUGGUGUCGGAUGCCAUUCCUUUUCUUGGAUGGCUUGACGUGGGUGGACAUGUGAAAGCCAUGAAGAAGACUGCAAAAGAAUUGGACGGUAUUACUCAGGAAUGGUUAGAGGAACACCGACGGCGAAAAGAUUCGGGUGAAGCUGAUGGUGACCAGGACUUCAUGGACGUGAUGCUGUCCAUUCUGGGUGGUAGAGACACUACUGAUUAUGAUGCUGAUACCAUCAACAAAGCUACAUCCCUGGUAUGCACAUUAUUCCUUUAGCAUCUUUAUAUGGUAGUAAAAAAUGAGACAUAAUUUCAUGCUUUAUCAUCUUUAGUCCAGACUCAAGAGUACUUGGGCCUGGGUUGGAAGAACUUCUUAUUUUUGCUUAGUUUCAAGUUGAAACUAAUCAAAAGCAGCGAUUUUUAAAAGGUAAUUAUAAUAGUGGUGUUAUUAAAGGUCAAACAUAAAUAACUUUUUGCAUAAAUCAAAAUAGAGUUUAUAUAUAUAUAUAUAUAUAAAAUAUUUUUCUGAUCUUCAUAUUAAUUUUUCUAAGUCAUAACUUUUUUGAACAAAAUUAGUCAAACCAUAGAACUCUUGAACUUACAGAAAAGGGCUUUCGAUUUCUUAGAAAUAGAUACAUGAAGAGUUUUGUUAUAUGUUUGUUUUUGUCAAAAGAGUAACAUGAGCAGCUUAGACAAGCAAUUAGAAUGAAAUACAACUGGGCUGAGAAGCUGAGUAGAACUAGAAUUAUGUACAACCUCUUGCUAGGAUAAUUGGGUUGGACUUGUAAUGAUAGAGUUCUCCGUUGGAGUUAGGUGGCCCAAAAAGAUUGUGCUGUUUGAAUAGCUGGUCCUCUAAUUUAGGAAGAGGCAGCCGAAUUUGCAACGCUGGGUGGCUGGGCCCAUAGAAAAUAUUCUUGUCAGAAGAUUGUGAAAGUAUGUUCCUUAGUCCGCAAGGUUUGAGGCCUCUUUGAGUGGGCUUCUAGAGUCGGUUAGACAAUUGGGCCUUUCAAAGGAUUUCCUAAAUUUACAAUUUUUUUAGCCCAACAUGAAUUUUUAUAAAAUGCUAUAUUUAUACGUGAGUUUCAUAUUCAAGCUAAACAUACCCAUUUUGAUUGGAAAAAAAGGGAAAGAACAUGGGGCCUUUUUUCCACCCUUAAUCUUAUCACUACUUUUAAUUUUAUUUUAUUAGUUAAUGGUUUGUAUUUCACAGGUUAUGAUUGGAGGAGGCGCUGACACUACAUCUGGUACUUUAACAUGGGCAGUCUCACUUUUAUUGAACAAUCCACACAUAUUAAGAAAAGCUCAAGAAGAAUUGGAUGCUCAUGUUGGUAAAGAAAGACUAGUAAAUGAAAUGGAUAUAAGCAAGUUGGUUUACCUUCAAGCAAUUGUUAAAGAGACAUUGAGGUUAAAUCCAAUAGCCCCACUUUCAGGACCGCGUCAAUUCAUCCAAGAUUCUAUUUUAGGUGGUUACCAUAUCUCAAAAGGCACUCGUCUUAUAUUGAACCUUACCAAGAUUCAAAGAGACCCGAGAGUAUGGUUGAACCCAAUGGAGUUCCAACCAGAUAGAUUCCUCACCACCCACAAAGAUGUUGAUGUUAGAGGUAAACAUUUUGAGUUGACACCAUUUGGUGGUGGAAGAAGAAUUUGCCCUGGAAUAGUUUUUGCCCUUCAAGUGCUACACUUAACAUUAGCCAACUUCCUGCAUAGAUUUCAACUUUCAACUCCAUCAGAUGCACCGGUUGAUAUGAGCGAGGGUUUUGGAUUAACAAACAUCAAAUCCACUCCACUUGAAGUUCUUAUCUCCCCACGCUUAGCUUCUUAUGAUCUUUAUGAGUAGAAUUUGAGGUCGCUAAGAGACUUAUUUCAAAAAACCUAGUACUAUGAAAUGUGAAAUAAAAAUAAAUUUCAUAGCAUAAGUUUAGUAUUAUUUUAAAAUAGUUACUAAUGUCUGUCCUUUAAUAUUGUCUUAGCUUGAAUUUAAUGAAAAAUAUUUUCGACACUUAUUUUGUGUGGACAAGUAAUGACCCAAUUUCUUGUUAUGUUUCUUCAUUCUUCCAUGAAAGAGAAUUUAGAAGAAAAAGUGGCAUAUAGCAUUACAAUUGAAAAAUUAAUAAGCAUGUACUCCAUAUGCAUAGUAGACUUAAUGAGUUUCCAAGUUGAUUAAUUGGUAUCUCCUUUUGAUAGAUUUCAGCCACCUUUUUGUACAUGAUUAAAGUAGUAAUGGAGACUAAAAUUACAACUCCCAUUUCAUUGUAAAAAGUUGGGAUGUGCAAGGUGGGUCAGUUCAAUUUUGGGCAUUAAAAUCAAAUCGAAUUGAACCCAAAAGAGGAAAAUGAUUAGUUUGACUUGAUUAACAAUAAUCUAAGUUGGUUUAUUUUGCUUCUAUUUAUAACAUCAAUUUUUUUUUUUAAUUUGAACGAAAAUAAUAUUAUUGAAGCAAGUCAUCUUUGGACGGUUGAAAUGAUAUUAUUACAACUAAUUUCAAAUCAUAUUAUUAUAACUUAAUGAUGUGAAUAGGUAUUAUUGUAACCCAUGUCAAUCAUAUCAAAUAGUCCAAGUCAUAGAUAAAAGUUAUAAAGGUGUGAUUGGGAGUUCCAUCCAAUGUGAAAAAUGUAUACCCAAUUAAUGAUGUAACCAAUUGUUAUACUGUAUAUUAUUACUGUGUGUAUAACUUUCAAUUCAAUUCAGUUUGGUUCAUUAAUUUUUUUAAUAGGUAAUUGAAUUGGUAUAACUUGGUUUUAUAUUUAAAAAACCAAAUUUAUUAAAAAAUAAAAUCUUAAAAAAUUAAUAGAUUUGGGUCAAUUUCAUUGAUUUUGCCAAUUGUACACCCUAAAAGAAGGGAUGUCCACUUAUCAUCCAUAAACUUUGUGUACUCCUAAGUUACAAUUUUGCCCCAUGUGAUUCACAUUUGUACUUAUUAUACUCAAUUUUCCGUACAAAUGAUUUAUUAUUUUGCAGAAUUUUACUCCAUGAGAUUCACAUUUGUACUUAUUAUUACCAACUUUGUCUGCUCUUAAGUUACAAUUUCUCCUAAUUAGAUUCACAUGCGUUACUGCCAUAAUUGACUUUCCACAUUUAUGCAUGAAUUAUUAUGUCAAUAGAUGCAUUAUCAUUUUGUCAAGUUAAUCUGACUUAGGUUAAUCACCAAAGGCAAGGUGAAUUAAUUGACUCAAUUUUAAUAAAUUUUAAUUUAACUAAGUGCAAGUAAUAAUAAUAAAACAGUUAAAAAAUACAUAAUUAAAUAACUAAAAAGAAGAGAUAACAGGUACAAACUCCGAUUUAUAUUUUGCUCAAUCCCAUACUCUCCUCAAGCUCUCAAAUGCAAAUUGAGGGUUCCACUAGCUUUUAAGACUUCAAUCAAAUCUUAAUCCUUUACACUUGGAUUCUCAAUUUCAAUGAUCUUUUUACACUUUAAUUCAAGAAAUUCCUCACUCUUGAACAUACUCAAAGGUAACACUUGAACAACAUUGAUCUCACAAAAUUUUAUUUACAAAUAAUAUAAAUGAAAACUUAAAUGGUUUUUCUUGGCUAGGAUUUCUAAGUUAAUAAGGAUUUUUGCAUUAAAAAGAAAUAGUUAAAAUCAAUUGGGUUUUGUAAGAUUUUGAUAUAUAUCUUAGUUUGCGAGUUUUUUGGGAUUCUAUUAUAAUCUUAUUGUUUUAUCCUAAAAUUGUCAAAAAAAGAAAUCAGUAAUUUAGUAUGGCAAUUUUACUCCAAAGAUUAUUGAUUAAAAAUUAUUUUACUAAUACCAACGUGUAAGAGUUAAAGGCAUAAAAUUGAAAUUAAAGUAAGUUUAUUAUUUUGGAUUUGGUUAAGUAAUGACAAGAUUAAUAAUUGAAAUUAAUGUAAAAAGAAGUGUAAAAACUUUAAAAGUUUAAAAUAUCAUUUCAUUAUUAAUUAGUUUCCACUUGCCAACAUAGACUUCUCAUUCUAUUCAAACAAGUUUUUUGUACUUUUAUAUAUAUAUAUAUAUAUAUUUCAUAAACUUAACAAAGGAUACAAACAACAAAAGAAAAAAAAAAUUGAGCUACUAAACCUCAAUAUAAAUUUGGGGUGAAUUAUCAAGGUCUAUUAAGGAGCAUGGGGAAGUGUUGUAUCACAUAUCGAUGUGAAGAAGGUGUAUAUAUAUUUAUAGUAUAGGACCUAAGAUGUGAACGUUUCUUUUAAAGUUAGGUAAACAUUUCUUUCAAAAUUAAUGGAAUCUCACUAUGAUUUAUAUACACAUGCUUUCAGUGUCCAUAGAGGUUGAAAUAAUACGAUGAUUUUUAACUUAUAUCUUGCUUUUUAUAUGUGAUUUAAUAUUGUUUUGGAUUAUUGAUUAUGACUCAUGAAUUAUCAUGCAUGGAACUAAUCAAAAUGAUAUAAUUAAAUUAUAUUAAUGAAUUUGAGAUAGACAUGACAAUUAUUAAUUUAAAAUAUCUUAUAUGAACAUAAAAUUUUAAAUAUAGACUCAUAAUUUAUAUAUAUUAAUAUAAUAAAGUUGAAAAACUACGUUUAUCUCAAAUUUAUGCCUAGGGCCCAAAUUUUGCUGAGAGCCAGCCGGAUGUCAUCACAUGCAAGAAAGCUAGGAAACAAAGCUAAAGUUUGCUUCUUGUGUGGGAAGAGGUACUUCCGUGCUUGACUGAAAGAAAGGAUUUUCUACAAGAAAAAUUGUCCCCUUGUUUGUAAAGCCUCAAGUUGCGACAGCAAUAACGACAAAAGUAGGCCAAAGAAUUUGUCAUUAUUAUGAGACUAGAGAGGUUUUACUGAGAAGUUUUCCGAGCGUGAUAUCAGCAUUCGCUGUAUCACAGUGAUACAACAAAUGGUUUGAACACAGUGAUCUAGAACCCAUUAGCUCAAAUUUCAUUGAUCUGAACACGAUGAUCCUCAUCCGCAGACCAUUUUAGGGAAUGAUUAAUUCGAGCGAUUUUUUAACUGCCUGUACGAAGAACUUUAUCAAAAUUGGAUUCAGUGUAUCUUAACCAAUCUUGAUCAGUAUGCGACUGAUGAUUCUAUUUGAUAAAAGUAAUGCGGUGGCCCAACUUUAUCUUAAUUUCUAUGUUGAAAGUAACCAUAUAUUAUUCUAUAAUUAUAAAUAUAUACUGUGGAAUCAAGAUAACUUUGAUAUGCUAAGGAUCAAAAGAGGGCAGCCACUUUAGUAGUGGAUUAUACUAAAUAAAGCUGAUCGAUUAUUACAUUGGAAAAUAACAUUGAACCUAUCAUGAAAGACAACCCUACUGGACCAUGCCCCGAGUACUAAAUGCUGAUAAAAAACAAGUACAUGUUCCAAAGGAAUUGAGUCCAUAUAUACACAUUAGUGCUCAAAGAGAAAAACUAUAUAUCCACCGCUUAACUACAGUGAUCCUUUGAGCAGAAGAAGCUAGCCAUGUAUUUCCUUCUCCAAUACCUAAACAUCACCACGGUCGGAGUCUUUGCCACACUUUUCCUUUCCUACUGUCUAUUAUUAUGGAGGUCUAGAGCUGGUAACAAAAAAAUAGCACCUGAAGCUGCUGCUGCAUGGCCCAUAAUCGGUCACCUACACCUGUUAGCUGGUGGUUCUCAUCAGCUUCCCCACAUAACCUUGGGAAACAUGGCCGACAAAUAUGGACCGGUCUUCACAAUUCGGAUUGGGUUGCAUCGAGCUUUGGUGGUAAGUUCUUGGGAGAUGGCUAAAGAAUGCUCGACCGCCAAUGACCAGGUUUCAUCCUCGCGUCCCGAACUUUUAGCCUCAAAACAUUUGGGCUACAACUACGCCAUGUUUGGUUUCUCUCCAUACGGUUCUUACUGGCGUGAAAUGCGCAAGAUAAUCAGCCUAGAGCUACUCUCUAACAGCCGCUUAGAGCUGCUGAAGGACGUCCGAGCUUCAGAAGUGGUGACAUCCAUAAAAGAGCUAUACAAGCUCUGGGCAGAGAAAAAAAAUGAAUCGGGCCUUGUCUCUGUGGAGAUGAAGCAGUGGUUUGGAGACUUGACUCUGAACGUAAUUCUUAGGAUGGUGGCAGGGAAGCGUUAUUUCAGUGCUUCAGAUGCAAGUGAAAAUAAACAGGCGCAGAGGUGCCGGAGAGUGUUCAGGGAAUUCUUUCAUUUGUCAGGGCUCUUUGCGGUGGCGGACGCUAUUCCAUUUCUUGGAUGGCUCGACUGGGGGAGACAUGAGAAAACCCUAAAGAAGACAGCAAUAGAAAUGGACAGUAUUGCUCAAGAAUGGUUAGAGGAGCACCGUCGGAGGAAAGACUCCGGUGAUGAUAAUAGUACGCAAGACUUCAUGGAUGUGAUGCAGUCAGUUCUUGAUGGCAAAAACCUUGGUGGUUACGACGCUGAUACCAUCAAUAAAGCCACAUGCAUGCCUGGUAUGAGUUAUUAAUGAAGCACCCACGUACCAUUUAUAUUUGCAUAUUAUCAGGGCUAGCUUCUUUUCCACAGACAGUUUUUCUUUUGUUUAUAUGUUUUAAUUGAUGCAUAUUCACUUUCUUCUUCUCUUAAUUAAAUUGCAAUAAUUAAACAUACAAUUUAAAUAAAUUUUAAAUUUUAUUUUUAACUAAAAACAAAAGUAUACAUAUACAAAUAUAUAUUGCUUAAGCAAUUAAUUUUUAAAAAUUAUUCUUUCAGAACACCUUAGACAAGUUGAGACAUGCUUCGAGGGAAAUCUAAAUAUAAUGAUUUUAAAAGCUACUUUGUAAUUUUAUUUUCGAGCAUGUUGCAUAAUAUAUGCUUUCCUUGAAUUGAUUUUCUAAAUUUUAUUUUUGUCAGCAAGAAAGGGUUAUCUACGUUUUGGAAGUUAUCUUUAAUUUCCCCUGCAAAGAAUAAGUGUGUGGACCCUGCAUUUCGGCUCAAUGCGUUUCCCACUCGAUGGCGAGCUCGAUUUUUAUUUGAAAAAUGAUUUUUAUUGAUUAUUUAGAAAAUGACUUGGAGUCGCCACUUAUUUUUGUUUUAUUUUUAAAGGGUAAACAAAAUAAGAAAGAAAAACCCUAAGUGUGACUCCUUAUUUUGGAAAAGGUGGUCUGUGAAAAACUGAAUCGGGUUCAGGGGUCAGGUUACUUAUUGGGAAGGUACGGUAUGGACCGUAGCACCCCUCUAAGUCCCUAAAGUCGGGUCUCUACUAAUGAGAUGAAGCUGACAUGGCAAUCAAUGAGAAAAUCAAUGAAUACUCGAAUCAAUCAUGCACAUAUGAGAGACAAAGCAUGUAUAAAGAAUGAGCAAAAUAUGAAUAGAUGCGUACCUGGGCGACAAUCACGAAUGCGCUAUCAUGAAACAUGGUUAGUGAACAAUAAACAUAUAUAAUUAAGCGCAUAUCAAGGAAUAGAGUAAAUCAAUCAUGCAUGACAAAUAAAUCAAUCAAUCAUGGAAUCUCAUAUGUAGGGCCCCCACCAAAACCCAAUUCAUUUUUGCAUGAAUCAAUUCCAUAAAUUCCAUCACUUGGAAUUACGGAAUUUAAUUCUUACUUAUUUUUAAAACAUUUUAAAAACCAAGAAAAUGCACAAGUGGCUUGCCGGAAGGAAAAUGGCAACCAAAUUUUAUUGAAAAUGGGAUUUAAGAAGAUUAUUUUCAAGAAAACAGGGGAUGAGAGAAUAGAAGGAAAUGGCACAUGGUCAAGAGCUGCAUGCCUAAGGUGGCCAUGCAAAAACACUUCCCUCUAAGCUCAGGGUGGAGGGACUGCACUAUAAGGAUCAGUGGUGCUGCAGAGCUUGUCAGAACAGCUGAUGGCAUCAUAGGUGUUGCUCCUGAUUGCCUGAAAGAAUUCAUCUCUAAUGGACGGAAUCGAUUGCUCUACAUGAUUAUUCCAGAAGGUAAUGGUUGAGUCCUUAGCUUCACGAACCCAAUUUUUUAUGUCAUUACUUCCCAUCAAACUACCAUGACAUAGGAGCCACACUGAGCAAACUGAUGAGCCCGCUGCCCCACAUGUAUAGGGAAUCCAGUACAAAGUUAAUUUCCGCGGUUUACGAUGUUCGGAAACAAGGAUACUUAGGUAAGAAUCCAGCUUAUACAUGAUAAAUCACGNNNNNNNNNNNNNNNNNNNNNNNNNNNNNNNNNNNNNNNNNNNNNNNNNNNNNNNNNNNNNNNNNNNNNNNNNNNNNNNNNNNNNNNNNNNNNNNNNNNNGUGGAUGCCGCCUAUGAUACUAGCCUCAGAAAUCAUGCCAUUGACAUCGUUGUGCUUGUUACUAUUGCCAUCUCUAUCUCACAUGUGAGAGCCCUUGAUGGAAUCAAUUAAAAUAAUCCUUGAUAGAAACGUGGACUUCAUGUCUCAAAUCUGGCCUUUCAUAUCUCCUCAUUUGUCCAUGUCAACUAUUGUCACCAAGCCAUAAGCCUCUUGAUCCCAUGAUAACCCCAUUAUUCAACCCAAUACUUCAAUGAUGAUUCUCUUUCAUUUGCAUUCCUGACCUUCUCUUAUCUCCAUUACUGAUCCCAUGGAUGUUUACAGGAUUGAGUAUUUGGACGAGAGCAAACUUUGAUUAGAACCCUGUAUCAUGUUGAGUCUCUGCCAGCCUGGAAGGAUAAAAAUCACGUUGCCCCAUAUGGUGAGUUUUACUUUGAUUUACUCUUCCUCCUUGAUUCGUAUAAUGCAAGAAGGACAGGAGUUAAAAUGUCACGGAUAGCAUGAUGGCAAUGCCCAAAAGUAGCGUCAGUGUACAUUUGAGUCAAACGCGACUCCAUAUCAAACAUUGGCGGCCAGCGUCCAAGUCAAAGGGACGUAGUGCCCAUAAUUCACUGUUGAUAUUCUUCUUUCUGGGGAUGGAACAGAUCCAACUUCAAGGAUUGGGUGAGUCUCCUAAGAACUUUUCAUAAGGAUGGAUGACUGCCCAACAAUGCACUCAGGUUCCAUCAUUGCAAAGCCUCAACAGACUGCAUGCACCAUUCGUCGCGUACCUCACGACAAAUGUGAGUCUGGUUAAUCCCGUAGGAGGACUCCAAGCAGCAUGCAUAACGUACCUCUUCGGAAUAUCACAACGAGACCCACUGGUGCCCUCGUCUGAAUACCCCUCCGCCUCUCAUUCAAGUAAUGGGUGUUGGACCCAUGUAUGCAUGCAAAGAUGGAGGAGUGAAGUGGUGAGAGAAAGGAUGUAUGGAUUUAGCUGCGAGUAAGGUCACGGGUAUGGGAGGAUGGAUGCGGUGAAGACCUUUGAGGGUGAUGAAAAAUGGUGCAUGGAGUAAGAUAGGCUAAAGUGGAAAUGCGUGGUAGAAUGGGCAUAGGAGUAUCAUGAGAGAAGUGUGCAGGGACUACAUGCAUGUGGGUGGCUAGGGAAGUAAAAGAUGGGUUCAACAGUGAAACGUAUGGGAAUGAUGAGAGGGAAAGCGGAUUAGCAGAUGGGGUUAAUGAGUGAUAUGAAGAAUGGGGUAUGAGACCUGGGUAUAAGGUGAAAUGAAUAUGACAUGGUUAUGCAUGGCCAUGCCAUGGCCAUGCAAGAACAUGAUGGAAAGGGAGUGACGGAUGUAUGAAUAAUGGAGAGCAUGAGGAGGUAUGGGAUAGAUGAACAGGGCUGGAUGGUGGAUGAUGAAUAAGUAAUGGUGAAAUGGGUAUGAAAGAGUUUGAAGAGAGAGAAAAGGUGGUAAUGUGGAAUGGGUUUGAUAGGUGGGAGUACAAAGUGGGUAUGAAGAUGGGUAUGAAUGGUUUAGUAGGUACGAGACAAAUGGGUUAGAUGGAGGGUAUAAUGGGUGAUGUAAUGAUGGAAACCCGGGCGUUUAUUCAUCUUUGGAGGCACGAUACCCGGGUCAUGAACAGAUGGAUCACACUUCUUGGCCAGCUGCAUUCAGGCCAUAGUCAAUACAACCGACUUCGCUACCUCCAUUUCCAGGCACAGUGAUUGACACAAAGGAAGGUAACUUCCCAAUAAUCAAGCUUCUUUCGAUACAAGGUCUGCAUGGCUUAGCCGAGUUCAGUUUAGUUGGGUGUCGAAUCCCAUUGGUCAGUAGACCCAUUUGGAGCGAAACUGAACCCUUUAAUCCAAAUGGACCGUUACAGAGAGCACAAAGCAGCAGUAGGAUUAGCAAGACCCAGAGCAUAAGAGCGGGCUGUGACCAUGGCAGAGAUUCCAAAUUAGAAAGCAAGCACAAAACCAUCCAUGGAAGAGGUUAUCCAAGGUUUUGGAUGCUUAUGAAGUUUUCCCGCAAGUUGAACGAAUCUGUAACAGAGUGCCUUCUGAUCUAACCUGCAUAGUUUCAACAUGUACCACACCAUCCCCAUUCACGGUACCUCCAAUCACUAUGUCACCCUUCUUUCUUCGCCAUAGGCCUAGCAUCCUCUGUGAGCAUGUUCUUGAACCCACAAUCUCCCGCUUUACCUCAUGGAAACAUGUCAACCAAAAUAGCCCACCCAUCAAGUGACUGAUUCAACUCUGAUACCCGACAUCUCAGAUGCACCAACAACAGAAGCACAAAAGGGUAGGAAAUGGGGCCAAAACAGAAAAGAACGAAGGAAGGAUAAACGAGGAAUAAAGUAAAACAUAAGUGUAUAGAGCCUCAUUUCAGGUGACAUCCAUGGGCUUAUACAAGUGAGGAGAUCUCAAGUUAGAGUUACAGAAUAUAUGAGGAACCGAGUUCUAUUAACUCCAAGCCAAACCACAAGAACAGCAGUAAAAUCAACAACAAUAGAGUAUAAAAACGAUCCAGAAAUCAACAAAAUUCAGUACGUAUGACCCAACUCAAAUUGAUGAGCAAUGCAGAGCAAACCAAAAUGAGAAAAGGGUGAGAAAAAUAUGAAUCAAAGUAAGCAAGAAACUCACCUCAAACUCACCUGCAGACGCUCCUCUCUCUAUUCCUUCAUUCUCUAAGCUUCAGCUAGCCAAAAACAACGCCCAGAAUCUCCGUCACACAGCCACCCAAAACCUCCUCCUCUGCAGCCUCGAACCUCUCUGCCAACAAACAGCAACCAAAAGCACCUCCCCCUCUCGGAAACUUCUUUCUCCCUAAAAAAAAACUCUCAGACCAGCCUCUCUAAAGCUCCCCCUCUCUCAAGUUCACCGUCCAAAAUUACUCCUCUCAUGGAAAAACUCCCUGGAAUCCCCUCAGCAGCCCCGGUACCUCCAGCUAAAAGAAAAUCACCCCCCCCGGUUCUCAUGUCUCUCUCACCUUUUUUUCUCUCUAGCCAAAACCAGCUUUCUUUUCCUCCCUUUGGAAAUAUCUCCCUAACGGCCAGACGACACCCACCUGCCUUGCAGCUGCAAGCCUCCACUCCCCCCUAUGCAGCUGGCAGCCUCCCAAAAUCAACCCAACAAAAGCUCUUCCCCUAAAGAUUUCUGCCACCUUCCUCUUCUAGGCAAUAUCUCUUUUCUGUCCCGGAUUUGCCCCUCCAACAAUCCCUGUAGCCACCUCCAGCACCACUACACUCUGCAUGCAACUGGCAACACCUCCUAACGGAAAGCACGCUCCCUUCUUCUAGAAUGUUCUUCACUUUCCAGGUGUCUUCCUCUUAUUAGUCCAUCAAUUCCACCAUAGUGAUUCCACUAGUAGCCAACCCGAGAGUGACACGUGGCCAUGCGAGAUGGUGACACUUGUCCAGCAUCAGCUGCAAGAAUGACUCCCAAAAUGGGGGUCUACAACUAUGCCCAUUUUCGGUAGAGUUCACAAGUGUAAGGAAAAUGAACACUGGAAUGAAAGGUAGGUGUGAAUAGUGAGUGGAAUGAAGUGAACUCUACCGAAGAACCAAGGAGACCCCCAUAGGGACACUAGCAAAACACGAAUUCGCUCAGGCUGACAGACUGACACAAAGGCUCUGAUCCUAAAACAAAAUGAUGUCUCAAAAUGCCUCUGAGGCCAUACUAAGGAUCCAAGCUCCCUUUAACAUGCCUCCAAAAGUGACCCGAAGAUCGAUGUCAAAAGUGAGUAACGGUCGAACCACCCUGGAGUACGAACAAGAAUGCGUCUAAAGGAGACUGCCCUAUGUGGACUAUGAGAUGAAUAGGUGAUAAGCACAGGGUAACGAGGUGAGAAGAGUGAGAAUAAGUGCAAAUCCAUGAAGGUGAGAUGCGCAAUGCCAGUGAAUAUGAACGCUAGGGGCUGCGACUCUGAAUGACGAGACUGACCCUAAACGCUAAACUGAGAAAAACAAUGGCUCUGGAAGCCAGACCAAAAACUAACUCUAAAAACUAAACUAGAAUAACAGCUCUGGAAGUCAACCAAAAACUAACUCUAAAAGCUAAACUAGAAAACAACAGCUCUGGAAGCCAACCAAAAACUAACUCUAAAAACUAAACUAGAAAAUAACAGCUCUGGAAGCCAACCAAAAACUAACCCUAAAAGCUAAACUAGAAAACAAACAGCUCUGGAAGCCAACCAAAAACUAACUCUAAACUAGAAAAUAAUAGCUCUGGAAGCCAAACUGAAAACUAACUCUAAAAGCUAAACUAGAAAACAACAGCUCUGGAAGCCAAACCAAAAACUAACUCUAAAAACUAAACUAGAAAAUAACAGCUCUGGAAGCCAACCAAAAACUAACCCUAAAAGCUAAACUAGAAAGUAACAAACAGCUCUGGAAGCCAACCAAAAAACUAACUCUAAAAACUAAACUAGAAAAUAACAGCUCUGGAAGCCUAAACAAGUCGACAGUAACGACUCUGGAAGCCUAAACAAGAUGAUAGUAAUGGCUUUGGAAGCCUAAACAAGAUGACGGUAACGACUCUGGAAGCCUAAACAAGAUGAUAGUAAUGGCUCUGGAAGCCUAAAUAAGAUGACGGUAAUGGCUCGGAAGCCUAAACAAGAUGACAGUAACGACUCUGGAAGCCUAAACAAGAUGAUAGUAAUGGCUCUGGAAGCAUAAACAAGAUGACAGUAAUGACUCUGGAAGCAUAAACAAGAUGACAGUAAUGGCUCUGGAAGCAUAAACAAGAUGACAGUAACGACUCUGGAAGCCUAAACAAGAUGAUAGUAAUGGCUCUAGAAGCCUAAACAAGAUGAUAGUAAUGACUCUAGAAGCCUAAACAAGAUGAUAGUAACGACUCUGGACGUCGAAACUAAAAAGUGAUGAUGAUGACUCUGAACGUCAAACUGAGAAGUGAUAACGACUCUGAACGCCAAAACCGAGGAUGCGACUCUGAAUGUCGAUCUGAAAACCGAUGAUGGCUCUGAACGCCUAAACUGAGAAAUGAUGAUGAUGACUCUGAACGUCAAACUGAGAAGUGAUAACGACUCUGAACGCCGAAACCGAGGAUGCGACUCUGAAUGUCGAUCUGAAAACCGAUGAUGGCUCUGAACGCCGAAACUGAGAAGUGAUGAUGAUGACUCUGAACGUCAAACUGAGAAGUGAUAACGACUCUGAACGCCGAAACUGAGGACGCGACUCUGAAUGUCGAUCUGAAAACCGAUGAUGGCUCUGCACGCCGUAACUGAGAAGUGAUGAUGAUGACUCUGAACGUCAAACUGAGAAGCAAUGAUGAUGACUCUGAACGUCAAACUGAGAAAGUGAUAACGACUCUGAACGCCGAAACCGAGGAUGCGACUCUGAAUGUCGAUCUGAAAACCGAUGAUGGCUCUGCACGCCGUAACUAAGAAGUGAUGAUGAUGACUCUGAACGUCAAACUGAGAAGCAAUGAUGAUGACUCUGAACGUCAAACUGAGAAAGUGAUAACGACUCUGAACGCCGAAAUCGAGGAUGCGACUCUGAAUGUCGAUCUGAAAACCGAUGAUAGCUCUGAAUGCCGAAACUGAGAAGUGAUGAUGAUGACUCUGAACGUCAAACUGAGAAGUGGCUCUGAACGCCGAACUGAAAAAUGUGACAUGAUGACUCUGAAUGUCGUAAACCGUGAAUGAACGGCGACUCUGAACGCCAGACUGCAAGGAAACAAUGUGGGGGAAAUAUGCCCCAGUGUGACAUGCCGCUGCAAAUCUCAAACUGCUAGAAAUGGCUAAAAGGGACUCUACGAGUCUCGAAAGACGCACCACUAAGAGCUCAUGUCAAUGAAGAGCUCAGGAACAACGGUCAGUGAGGCGAAUACAAUAUAUCUCGGCCGAGUGAUGGAAACCGCGACGGACAUGUGAGAGAACGAUCGCCUCCAUGGCUAAAUGAGGGAAAUACGCCCCAGUAUGGCAUCAGAUGUACCCGAUCUGCCCUGAUGACCCGAGAAUAACACCAUGGGGAUGCAUAAAAGACCUGAUGUGUACCGCACUGAAAUGAUGACAUGGGGAUCCAAGCACUCGACAUAACCCCAUCCAGGAAUCACGACUAUAUCAAAGAGUAUGAAUCUGGCUGAACGAGUCAAGAGAGGCUCCUCGGAGUAUCAGGACAAAAUGAAAUCAAUCAUCAACCUGGCGUGUAUCUCAUAACUGUGGAUGAUCAUGUAAACCAGUGGGGAUCUAUAAAUCUCGAUCAAGAUGGGGAAUAUGCCCCAGUGUGGCAUCGGAAAUGUAACAUGUCGAAAAAUCAGCUGAGCUCAAAUCAUCUAUGCCUGCAACUAGCUAGAUGGCUCUCGAUAGGCUCCACUAAGGAAUCAUCGCGAGGAUAGCGAAUAUAUCAUCAUCCCUGUAUACAUCUCGCAAAUAAGGAUAAGCACGCAACUUCCUCAUGAUCUGUAAAUCUCAUCCGAACGGAAAUAUGCCCCUGUAUGGCAUCGAAAUGUAGGAUAGGUCGGAGAUCAGAUAGCAUGGAAUCAUCUAUCUUAGAACAUGUGACCUCUGCGAAAAUCCAUAAAGAUCCUCCGAAACGGAAUAUGCCCCAGUAUGGCAUCUGACGUGCGACAAACCAGGAAAAACAGGUGACAUCGAAUCAUCCCUCAUCAAACACGUGAUCCUGGUAAUCCAAACACGGUCGAAACGGAUCUAAACAUCUGAGAAGUGUUUCUCAGAAGAAGAUGCAUGGCAAAUAUCUGGAUGUCAACUGAAUCUCAAACACCUGUCCACAUAGAAGCCGUAGAAGACGAUAUCUGAUCCCAUGGCCUCAGGGUGGUCUUAAGACACAGGACGUAAUGUAGGCUAGGGUGAUAGGGUGAUAGAAACGAAGGGAAACUAAGCUCAAAUACCCAAUGAUCAAAACCCAUGCCCUCGUGUGUGAAAUGCAACAUGUACAGAAAAUCCUGUGAGCCCUGGACCUGAGGGUGUCUAAUGUGAAUAUGAUGUCAAUGAGGAAACAAGUGAAGCAAAUCAAACUGAUAAUGAGAUAUGUAAUGGUGAUACGAAGGGAAUAUCAAACCCGAGAUGGGUCUGGUAAGAAAAGAAUGAGAAGUGAAGUGAGAAUGACGAAUCAGAAGCGAAAACGAGGACGAUGAUAAUGAAGCGAAUAACAUCAAAAGGAGUGAUGAUCAACUCAGAUCAGACAUGGAGUGAUGUCACAUCAACUACGAACAUAAUGAUGGAACGUACAAUAACGCAGAGCUCCUAAGAGAAAGUCACUCAUCUCGCUCACAAAAUAUGCAACAAAAUGAAUACAAAGCCUGAGGGAUCCAGGGAAGCUCACAUACGAACUCCCGUCAACAAACAUACUCGAUCAAGUGACCCUCGAAUAUCAAUACAUACACUCAGUGAUGGAUAACAAAACACACUUGAUUUUUAUUUCUUUUUCCAUUUUUUUUUUUUCAUUUUUUUCAUUCAUUUUUUUUUUUUUUUACAACAUAUAAAUGAACUGUACAUGAUCUGAAUGCAUACAAAGAAGACCCAAAGACGGGAUCAAAAAUGAAUAAACAUGCCCUCAAAUAUCAAUAUAUCACAAACUCAAUCUAAUGAGAUGAGGUGACCUUCUCAAACUGAGGAUCCCUGGAUCAGUGUCCGUGGGAUAGAUAGUGGAAAUGGCGUGACUACCCUCCAUGUGAUGAAAUGAGGAGGAUCACCCCUCGGGGUGAAAGAAGAUGACAUGAAACGAAUAGUAGAUAAGAUAAAGAAAAUAUGAUGAAUAACACGAACAGUGAGAUGAGAUGAAAUGCAAUGAUGCAGUGGUGAGCACAGAUAAUGAGAAGAACGUGCCCCUAGGUCCAAGGCUCAUGAAACUCUCAAACAAUGCAUGCAUACACUAAAGGGCCCCAAUCCCGGUGUGAAAAUGUGAGCAAGGCUAUAGAAAAUGAAGGCUAUGAUGCGCGUGUGAGGCUCAAAUGGGCUAGCAAUGGACUAUAUAUAUCAGAAACGGGAUAAAGGGAUAUAGCUAACCGAAAUGAUGGCCACCCAUCCUGCGACCAUGGACUCAAACGUAGUACCUCUUUAGCUGAUCCACAUUGGUCGGCUCUGAGAACUGGUUUCCAUCUAAAUCCAUCAGCCAUGCAGCGCCCUCUGGAGUCAACUUCCUGAUGAAAUAAGGUCCGCUCCAACUAGGUCUGAACUUCCCUCUAGGAUCUCUGAUCAAUCCUCUGAUGACUCUCAAAACUAAGUCACCUACAUGCAGUGGUCUAGGCUUGACCUGCUUUUUGAAAGCGCGGGCCAUCUUCCUCUGAUAUGCACGAACGUGGUCUGCUGCUCUCAAUCUCCUCUCAUCUAGGAGAUUGAGCUGAUCAAAUCGAGCCUGAGCCCAAUCCGUCUGGGGAAUCUGCUGCUCUAGUGCUACUCUCAAUGAUCCCAUCUCAAUCUCAACAGGUAGCACUGCCUCCAUGCCGUACACCAAUGAAUAGGGUGUGGCUCCUGUAAAGGUGCGAAAAGAAGUCCGAUAUGCCCACAAUGCGAAAGGGAGCUUCUCUGACCAAUCCCGAGAAGUCUCAACCAUCUUUCGCAAUAUCCUCUUAAUAUUCUUAUUCGCGGCCUCUACUGCCCCAUUCGUCUGCGGCCUGUACGCAGACGAUCUAUGAUGCCGGAUGCCGUAUCUCUGCACCAAGGUGUCAACCUCUGCUCUGAAAUGCACCCCUCUGUCUGAAAUAAGCUCGUGAGGGACUCCAUAGCGACAAAUGAUGUGCGAUCUAAUGAAACUGACAACUCCAGAUGACGUCAAUCUCGCAUACGAGGCGACCUCCACCCACUUGGUGAAGUAAUCAAUAGCAACAAGGAUAAACUCAUGACCACUGGAAGAUUUCGGUGAAAUCUUCUCGAUGAUAUCGAUACCCCAUACUGAAAACGGCCAUGGUGAAGUCAAUGCAUGCAACUCCGAGGGCGGCACGUGAAUGAGAUCUCCAUGUAUCUGACACUCGGGACAUCUCUGAACGAACUGGCAACAAUCUGUCUCCAUGGUCAACCAAAAGUAUCCUGUCCUCAUGAUCUUACGGGCCAACAUAUGCCCCCCAUAUGUGGUUCGCAGACUCCCGCAUGAACCUCUCGCAUAACUCUAUCGGCAGAAGCGCGAUCCAAACAUAAUAGCAGUAUCCCAUCAAAUGAUCGUCUAUAUAGCGUCUCGCCACAAAUCACGAAUCGGGUGGCCAACUGUCUCAAUGCCCUCCUAUCCUUGGCCGUGGCGGCCUCAGGAUAUAUGCCGAGUCUCAAAAAGUGAUAUAUGUCAUGAUACCAGGGCAAACCAUCGUCUAUCUCCAUAUCAUCAAUCAAACAACAAUACGCAGGAGCAGAUCUCGACUCAAUCAACAAAGGGCGAACAGUGGCAUCAGCGGGAAUGUCGAUCAUGGAAGCUAGAGUAGCUAAAGCAUCAGCAAACUGGUUUUGCGCUCUAGGCAGAUGUGUAUAUCUCAAAUCCUCAAAUCUCGCGACCAGUAGCUCCAAAUACGCGUGGUAAGGCCUAAGCUUCACAUCUCUAGUCUUCCACUCGCCUUGAAUCUGUCUCAAUACCAGAUUGGAGUCACUAAACACCUCCAUCUGUCUAAUCCCAAGCUCGAGGGCUGUCUCUAACCCCAAGAUACAUGUCUCAUACUCAACAAUGUUGUUCGUGGCUGGAUGUCGAUCCGAGAAUGCCAAACGAACAGAUCUGGGAAUGUGAUCACCAUGAGGGGAUAUCAACAAAACGCCUAUCCCGUAUCCAGAAUGGUUGGCUGCACCAUCAAAGUACAUGCGCCAACCCGACAGACUAGUCGCAGCUGCGACGUCCUCGUCUGGAAAAUCAUCGUCAAUAGCUCUGGCAUCAGAAACUGGUAAUGAGGCUAAGUGAUCUGCGACAAUGCUCCCUCUGAUGGACUUCUGAGUGACAUAAUGAAUGUCAAACUCAGUCAGAAGUACCAGCCAUCUCAUAAGGCGACCAACUAGAGCGGGCCUGUCAAACAAAUAUCUCAAAGGAUCAAGACGAGAUAUCAAAUGCACUGAAUACUCGGUCAUGUAAUGUCUCAAUCGGCGAGUGGCCCAAACCAAUGCCAAGCAGUAGCGCUCAAUCGUGACGUAUCUCGUCUCGUAAUCUAGCAUCCUCUUGCUCAGAUAAUAAAUGGCUCGAUCUUUGCCCGAAUCAUCGAGCUGAGCUAACAUGCAACCUAAAGCCACAUCCGAAACUGAUAGGUAUAGGAGUAGAGGAUGGUCUGGUGUAGGCGGAGCCAAAACUGGAGGCGACAACAAGUACUCUCGGAUCCUCUCAAAUGCGCGCUGACACUGAUCAUCCCAAACAGUAGGUUGACUCUUCCUCAAGAGUCGGAAAAUGGGCUCACAAAUGUCUGUCAAUCUGGCUAUGAAUCUACUGAUGUACUGAAGUCUGCCCAGGAAGCCUCUGACCUCUCUCUCUGUCCUCGGUGCAGGCAUGUCAAGGAUGGCUCUAAUCUUGUCCGGAUCUACCUCUAUGCCUCGCUCACUGACCAUGUACCCCAAGAGUUUCCCAGAAGUCACUCCAAAAGUGCACUUCUUGGGAUUCAGCCUCAAUCUAAAUUGUCUGAUCCUCUCAAAGAACCUCUCAAGAGCUGCCAAGUGAUCUGAUCUAUCUCGGGAUUUCACUAUCAUGUCGUCUACAUAAACCUCGACAUCCCGAUGCAUCAUGUCAUGGAAGAGUGUGGUCGCUGCUCUCUGAUAGGUGGCUCCUGCGUUCUUCAAUCCGAAUGGCAUGACUCUAUAGCAAUAAGUACCCCACUCGGUAAUGAAGGACGUCUUCUCCAUGUCCUCUGGAGCCAUCAAGAUCUGACUAUACCCGGAAAAUCCGUCCAUAAAGGACAACAUCGAGUGACCUGCUGUACUGUCAACUAACAUGUCGAUGUGUGGGAGAGGAAAAUCAUCUUUAGGACUGGCCUUGUUGAGAUCUCGGAAAUCAACACAGACUCUCACCUUGCCGUCUUUUUUGGGAACAGGGACGACAUUGGCCAGCCACUCUGGGUACUCGACUACUGAUAGAAAUCCUACACUGAGCUGCUUCUGAAUCUCCUUUUUCACCUGCAAGCUCCAACGAGGGUGCAAUCGUCUCAACCUCUGCUUAACCGGUCUGGCAUGGGGCAGAAGUGGCAAACGAUGCUGGACGAUGGAUGGAUCAAGGCCCGGCAUGUCCUCAUAGGACCAUGCGAAAACGUCCAAGUAGGAUCUGAGCAGCUGGAUGAGACUAUCUCUCUCAUCUGAGGAUAAAUCUGACCCGAUCCUCAACUCCCUAGGCUGAUCUGCGGUGCCGAAAUCAACAAUCUAUGUGUCUCCUACAGCAGGUGAAACCCUCUGAUCAACGGGAUCCGAAUCGGAAACAGAAGAUGAGUCAUCAUCUGAGUCGUGCUGUGCAAUCUCAUCAUCAAUAUCAAAAAUCUGUGAUGUGGGUGAAGAUGGUGCAGAUAAAUCAAUAUCACAAGAGACAGGCAGGUACUAAAAAAUGCUCAAAUCCAUAGAUGAAACAUCGGAAACAAUGUCAGAACGGGAGACAAACCCCGACUGAACGUCAAAUGAAAGAGGUGGGUCCACAAAGUCGGACGCUUCCUCAACAAUGCCAACAUGGCUAUCAAUCAAAUCAUAAAAAACUAUAGCAUCCUUAGUAAUCUCCAGAGCAGGGGCUGUCUGGAUCUCCUCAACGAUCUCGAUGAAAGACACCCCGAAAAGAUCGAAUGGUGAAGUGAGCCCAGGAUGAACUCUCUCCUCGAUCGGGCCCAGGCUCAGGGCGAGCAUCUCGUCGAUGUACUCGUCGUGUGGGACGGCUCCGUCCACUAUGUCUCCGACCCCAGCAAAGGUCUCAUGCUCAUCGGUCUCGUCCGGGAAGCAAAGCGUUAUAAGGCUCGUGCGAUCUGGAGACGAAGGAGCAAUCAACACAGAAGUCGAAGAGCCAGGAGCUCCAUCUCUCAAUCGUAACUGAUGGACAAGGCGCUGAAGCUCGACCUCCUGAGUGGUGCUAAGUCCUCCAAUGAUCACGUCCGCACGGGUCAAUGGCUCUGAUGCCCUCACAAAAUAAUCAGAUAAGCUCCUGGUGUAUGGGCGAAGAGGAUAGUAGAAAGGUGUGUGGGUCAGUCACUCUCUCCUUGCGCAAACGCGCCAUGUAGAGAUAAUCGGCCUCAAUGGGGAUGAACCCGAGUCCGAACGGUACGUCGUGAUCAGGGAUGGCUAUGAACUCGCUCGGUCCAUGCUGACAUCGACCCAACCCCAUGCCGGGUAGAUAGGACAUGCUUCGCAUAAUAUCGAGCACCACUGUGCUCCCAUGCCGGUCAAAGGACAUGGCCACAAAAUCCCGGCAGAAAUCCUCUAUCUCCACAGUCUGCACCUCAUCGAAGGUGAAUUCAGUCAGAAAAAGAUCGUCAUCAGUGUGACUAAUCUCGAGCACAGGCUCGGCAACAAUGAACAUGUCUCCCACAGACUGUACCACGACGACCUGACCAUCGUGAAUAAACUUCACCUUCUGAUGAAGGGAAGAAGGAAUGGCCCCGGCUCUAUGGAUCCAUGGUCGGCCCAGAAGCAGGUUAAAGGAUGUAGGAAUCCUCAAAACCUGGAAUACAGCGACAAAAGUGGCCGGACCGAUCAGCAACUCGAUCUCCAAUGUACCCAUGACCUCUCUACGGGUGCUAUCAUAAGCUCGGACGGUCUGAGUGGAGGGACCGAAAUCAGAAGGAGCGUAUCCAAGGGCGAUGGCAGUGGCAAGAGGACAUACGUUCAGGGCCGAGCCAUUGUCCAAAAGGACAGAUGGGACUCGGCGGCCUGAACAGCCAACAGAUAUGUAGAGCGGACGAGUGUGGUCCGAGCCCUCCGGUGGCAAGUCAUCAUCGGAAAAGACGAUACAAGUGGCUCUGCCAGCCGUCAUCAUAUGAAGGAGUCCCUCGGGAGUGGUCGUGGUAUCAACUCUGAUCUGGCUCAGAGCUCGAGUCAGUGCGUCCCGAUGGGUACUGGAAGACGCUAAAAGGCUCCAGAUAGAAAUACGAGCCUGAGUGCUCUGCAACUGCCUCAAAAUCUCGUCAUCCUCUGCUCUCACCUCCUCCUGGGAUGACGUACCCCCUAAGGGUCUAGCGGGAGCGGCUGGAGGUGGCUGUCUCACUACUCUCCCUCCCCGGAGGAUAUACUAAACGUCCGGAGUCUGAGGAUCAUCACUAUGUGGAGCCUGAACCUCCUCAACAUCUGGGAUCAGAAUGUACGGCGCCUGAACGCUAUAGCGUGUGAAUGUCAGAGGCUCGGAAGUGGCCGCCUGUACAGAUGCUGCCUCAGGAACUAAUCGGAAUGGAGCAGGCAUCUGUGGCUCUAGAGUCACCCCACUCGUCUCGUAAAUCACAGCUGGCAUGAUAGGCUCUGGGUCUGGAUCAUCCCAACUCAACAUAUGGACAUGAUCAUCAGUCUCAUCGAAGUCCAAGAAAUGAAUACCACAAGCUGGUGGAGGAACUGCAUGUGUGGUGUGGGUCGGCAACGGGUUUGUGGUCACACUCGGCUGACCCAAGUGUACCAAACCCUGGUCUAUCAGAUCCUGAAUAGCGUGCCUCAGAGCGGUGCAUCGAUCGGUCUCAUGUCUAGGCCCCUGAUGAUAAGCACAGUGUAAAUCCAUCCUGAACUGAGCUGGAAUAGGCUGAGGUAGUGGCCGAGGGGUGAGAGCAGUCAAUAAACCAGCCUCCGUAAGCUUCCGAAGAGCCUGGCUCAACGGCAUGCCUAUCUGCGAGAACUGCCUCUGCGUCCUCAAAGUAAACGGAGCAGAAGUCUGCUGGGCUCCAGGUCGGGGAUAAGGCGCCGCAGGUCUCGCGGUGAACUGAGCAGCGUAGCAUGGCUGCCCUGUGGCUGUGUAGGAGACCGCGGGUCUCUCAAUGCCCUGAGUGGCAUAAGAAGGUAAAACCAAUGUCUGUGGCAUGUGUGUCUGAUCGUAAGCCGGACGAGGUGCCCGUGGCCUGUACUGAUGAGAUGCAUAGGAAGAAUGAGGCUCGAAAAACUGUGGGAUCGGCUGAUGGCGUCUAAGAGGCCUCUGACUGGAUGAACUGAUAGCACCAACCUCUGUCGGUCUCGGUCCUACGAAUAGUUUCUUCCCCUUAACAUCACUAGGGGAAGAAUCUGCCCAUAAACCUCUCGUGAUGCCGUCCUCGACAUCAUACAAAGCCAUAACCAGAGACCCAAAAUCUGUGAACGGGACCCCGACCACAUGUCUGGCGAUCCCCGGCUGUAGGCUCCUCAAAACCAUCUGAAUCUAGUCUCUCUCUGAUGGUCUAUCCACUAUCUCAGCUAUCUUCCCGCGCCAGCGGGAAAUGAAAGAAGAAACGGACUCCUCUGUCCUCUGCCUUAGAGCCUCGAGCUCUCUCCUCGAUACAUCUACAACAGUGUUAAACGAAAACUGUCGUAGGAACUCCUGGGCCAAGUCAUCCCAUGUACGGCGUCUCGAGGACUCCAGAGACGCAAACCAGCGCUGAGCUGCCCCACUCAGAGAUAGGGGGAAAAGAGUGAUCAUUUGAGGCUCGUCCAGUCCAUGAGCCCUCAUCACGGUGCUAUAAAGUCUGAGGUGGAGGCGCGGACAACCAAUACCAGUGUACCUCUCAAUAUCUGGCAUCCUGAACUUAGUUGGCAAGCUGGCUACCGGCAUACCCCCAAAAUCAUCCCAAACAACUGAUCCAUCUGACACUCUCAUCUGCCUCAUACACUGCUCGAUGCGGUCCAUGCGGGCAUGCGUGUCAUCAGCGACAACGGCCUGGGCGACUACGGGUGGAGUGAUCUCAGAAUGCCCGUGUAAUACAUAUGGUGAUGCCUGAUGCACUGAAGGAACGAGUGGGGGUGGUGGAGGUGGGUGUGAGUCAUAUGGCGUCUCAUCCUGGACUGCUGGUGGUCUACCCUACUGACCACCGAUCUCCUGCCUGAGGCUAGCCAAAGCCUCCUGGAUAGAAGCCAUGGCAGCCGUGAACUGAUCGACCGUGACAACCUGCUGAUCCAUAUCUGGUGUAUCUGAAACCCGAACUAAUCUGCCCUCUACUCUGAUCCACGAAACUAUACCCAGACUGAGAGUAAAAAUCCUGAUCCUGAAAGUACUCCUCUUCUGCUCUGAUCCACAAAGGUAUAUCAAGACAAGGAACAAAUGUCCUAUCCUACAAAGCACGAAGAACGUAAUAAGGAUAUGGCCCGGGGAACGUAUAGAAGAAAAGAUAAUCUGAACAGGAACAAGCAAAGCAUCCAAGUGAAGAUGAGCGAUCCGACCGUACUCAAACUCGUCCUGAUCUCAGUGCACUCUCAACUGGAGACUAAACAGAGGGAAAAUCGGAUCCAAAACUGCGGCUACAGAGGCACGGAAAGCCCUCAGAUGCACCCACGUGUAGGGAGGGAAUCCUAAUCGAAGGAUCUACGGCUCAACCUACAAGGUCAAGGUGGCUCUAAAUGGAUAAGGGUGGACUUUAAAAUAUCCCUAGCAGAAGCGAUUAUACCCUCCGACGGUACGCAACCCUCUGCACGUCUCCGAAGAGACGGGGCGCUUCCAUGCAAGGUGGUCAUCACCUCCACACAUGCACUACCUCGCAUCCCAGGGGGUUUCCUAUGGUGAAACCUCUCAAACUCUCAACACUCAAUAGUCGACUAGAGUGCACAGUGAAUGGUGUGGGUGCAUCCGAAACCCUAAAAAGCUAAAGCAGGAUAUGAAACACACUGGCCACACAAAUAUCCAUGAAACCUAGCUUCGGGCUAUACAGGUCUUCAAUGAUCGGACUCCAAUCGACAUCAAAGUGUCGCUCUCCUCCAAAAUGCUCCCGUGCAUCGAUAUAGCCCAUCGCUAGACCCUACUCCUAAUCUCCGGCUCGGUCAAAGAGCAAGCACACAGAAGGUCUCACACUUGCAAUAGUGAGAACCGAAAUGAAAGGAAUGACCGAAACCAAGAGAGUUGGAGGUAGGGGGAUAGAAGUGAGACCCACAUAGACAGGCAACAUGCAAUCAUACAGAGGGAGGGCAGUCAUGCAUCAUACGGUCAAGCAGAGUAUAGGAUAUAUCACUCAUGUCCACACAAAAAAAAAAGCUACAACUAUCAGGAUGAAUAGUGAUAUGAACAUCAUGCUCAAAAGAUGAUCUAGAUAAUAUGCAGGUCAGAGAAAACAACACAGCAAGUCAAACGAUGUACAAUAGUGAGUCUAUGCAUGUGAAGUGAGCAGAAUAAUCAGGAAGAAACAGAAUCGCUUUACCAAGCAAAACAAGGUGAGCAACCUAUGAUAAUCGGCAUGUCAAUGUACCAAACUAAUAUAGCAAUGAAGUACAAAAAAAACGACAUCCGAAGCCCCAAAUCAAGAUGAUCAAUCAUAUCAAUGUCACAACAUAAUAUCCAAGCAUACAUAAAAAAAACUCUCAAUGUGCAAUCAAGAGACAGGUACUCGCUGAUCGACUCAUCAAAUGCCCUGUUUGCUUCAUCUUAAGUUCAAGCUUGACCCUCUAACUCAUCCCCAGCGGAGUCGCCAUUUUGUGGACCCCGCAUUUCGGCUCAAUGCGUUCCCCACUCAAUGGUGCAUGCAGUCUGUUGAGGCUUUGCAAUGAUGGAACCUGAGUGCAUUGUUGGGCAGUCAUCCAUCCUUAUGAAAAGUUCUUAGGAGACUCACCCAAUCCUUGAAGUUGGAUCUGUUCCAUCCCCAGAAAGAAGAAUAUCAACAGUGAAUUAUGGGCACUACGUCCCUUUGACUUGGACGUUGGCCGCCAAUGUUUGAUAUGGAGUCGCGUUUGACUCAAAUGUACACUGACGCUACUUUUGGGCAUUGCCAUCAUGCUAUCCGUGACAUUUUAACUCCUGUCCUUCUUGCAUUAUACGAAUCAAGGAGGAAGAGUAAAUCAAAGUAAAACUCAUCAUAUGGGGCAACGUGAUUUUUAUCCUUCCAGGCUGGCAGAGACUCAACAUGAUACAGGGUUCUAAUCAAAGUUUGCUCUCGUCCAAAUACUCAAUCCUGUAAACAUCCAUGGGAUCAGUAAUGGAGAUAAGAGAAGGUCAGGAAUGCAAAUGAAAGAGAAUCAUCAUUGAAGUAUUGGGUUGAAUAAUGGGGUUAUCAUGGGAUCAAGAGGCUUAUGGCUUGGUGACAAUAGUUGACAUGGACAAAUGAGGAGAUAUGAAAGGCCAGAUUUGAGAGAUGAAGUCCACGUUUCUAUCAAGGAUUAUUUUAAUUGAUUCCAUCAAGGGCUCUCACAUGUGAGAUAGAGAUGGCAAUAGUAACAAGCACAACGAUGUCAAUGGCAUGAUUUCUGAGGCUAGUAUCAUAGGCGGCAUCCACCAGGCCAUUUUGAUCCAUAAGAAAGGUAGCAAAGUGCAUCGGGGCUUCCUCUUCGUUUUGGGUGGAAUGGUGAUCUUUGUGUUCCUCAACGACAUCCAUGGAGUGGAGUAGAUUGUUUAUUUGACAGUAGCAAUUGCAAAUGGGUCAUUAAUGGACUUGGUUUUGAUUACCAGGGCUUGAGAGGUUUCUUACCGAAUGAUAUAUCCCAAUCGCGCCAUCUACAUGCAACACGUCAGAAUGAUUCUUCUGUGGAUGGGAGCUAUUCAUGUCCUCUGGUGUUUGAGAAACUGCCAGACGUAAACCAGGAAGGGUCCCAGUGGACAGAUUGUGAAAUUCGAGAGACCAUCAACGUGAUUUAUCAUGUAUAAACUGGAUUCUUACCUAAGUAUCCUUGUUUCCGAACAUCGUAAACCGCGGAAAUUAACUUUGUACUGGAUUCCCUAUACAUGUGGGGCAGCGGGCUCAUCAGUUUGCUCAGUAUGGCUCCUAUGUCAUGGUAGUUUGAUGGGAAGUAAUGACAUAAAAAAUUGGGUUCGUGAAGCUAAGGACUCAACCAUUACCUUCUGGAAUAAUCAUGUAGAGCAAUCGAUUCCGUCCAUUAGAGAUGAAUUCUUUCAGGCAAUCAGGAGCAACACCUAUGAUGCCAUCAGCUGUUCUAACAAGCUCUGCAGCACCACUGAUCCUUAUAGUGCAGUCCCUCCACCCUGAGCUUAGAGGGAAGUGUUUUUGCAUGGCCACCUUGGGCAUGCAGCUCUUGACCAUGUGCCAUUUCCUUCUAUUCUCUCAUCCCCUGUUUUCUUGAAAAUAAUCUUCUUAAAUCCCAUUUUCAAUAAAAUUUGGUUGCCAUUUUCCUUCCGGCAAGCCACUUGUGCAUUUUCUUUGUUUUUAAAAUGUUUUAAAAAUAAGUAAGAAUUAAAUUCCGUAAUUCCAAGUGAUGGAAUUUAUGGAAUUGAUUCAUGCAAAAAUGAAUUGGGUCUUGGUGGGGGCCCUACAUAUGAGAUUCCAUGAUUGAUUGAUUUAUUUGUCAUGCAUGAUUGAUUUACUCUAUUCCUUGAUAUGCGCUUAAUUAUAUAUGUUCAUUGUUCACUAACCAUGUUUCAUGAUAGCGCAUUCGUGAUUGCCGCCCAGGUACGCAUCUAUUCAUAUUUUGCUCAUUCUUUAUACAUGCUUUGUCUCUCAUAUGUGCAUGAUUGAUUCGAGUAUUCAUUGAUUUUCUCAUUGAUUGUCAUGUCAGCUUCAUCUCAUUAGUAGAGACCCGACUUUAGGGACUUAGAGGGGUGCUACGGUCCAUACCGUACCUUCCCAAUAAGUAACCUGACCCCUGAACCCGAUCCGAUUUUUCACAGACCACCUUUUCCAAAAUAAGGAGUCACACUUAGGGUUUUUCUUUCUUAUUUUGUUUACCCUUUAAAAAUAAAACAAAAAUAAGUGGCGACUCCAAGUCAUUUUCAAAUAAUCAAUAAAAAUCAUUUUUCAAAUAAAAAUCGAGCUCGUCAUCGAGUGGGAAACGCAUUGAGCCGAAAUGCGGGGUCCACAAAGUGAUCUUGAAAAUUAUAAGUUAAUUAUGUUUACUUGAAUAAGAGAUUUGAAUAAUCUUGUAAAAAGAUGAUGUUUGUCGUUUAAGUGGAAGGUUGAUUUAGAAAUUAUCAUACAGGGAAAUGGAAAAAAAUACUAUUAUUUUGGUACAAGACCAUAUUAUUCAGUGGUGUCUCUAGAAAGUUCCAUUAGAUGCUAUUAAACAAUUAAUUUGGUGUCUCACUUGCAUAAUUUUGAGUUAUUGGAUUUUGGGUUUUGCAGACUCUAAUCUCCGGAGGUAACGACACAACUGUUGUCUCUCUGACAUGGGCACUCUCUCUUGUACUAAACAACCAUGACACCUUAAAAAAAGCUCAACAAGAAUUAGACAUCCAAGUUGGGAAGGAAAGAUUAGUGAAUGAACAAGAUAUAGGUAAGUUGGUCUAUCUCCAAGCCAUUGUUAAAGAGACAUUACGGUUAUAUCCAUCAGGACCACUUGGAGGACUACGCCAAUUUACCGAGGAUUGCACCUUAGGUGGAUACCAUGUCUCUAAAGGCACCCGUUUAAUAAUGAACCUUUCGAAGAUCCAAAAGGAUCCAAGAAUUUGGUCAAAUCCAACAGAAUUCCAACCAGAGAGGUUUCUCACCACCCAUAAAGAUGUUGAUCCUUGGGGAAAACAUUUUGAAUUUAUACCAUUUGGAGCUAGUCGAAGAGUAUGUCCAGGAAUAACUUUUGGUCUUCAAAUAUUACAUUUAACAUUAGCUAGUUUCUUACAUGCGUUUGAAUUUUCAACUCCAUCAAAUGAAUAGGUCGAUAUGCGCGAGAGCCUUGGACUUACAAACAUGAAAUCUACCCCACUUGAAGUUCUCAUUUCUCCACGCUUAUCUUCUUGUAGUCUUUACAAUUAAAACAUUGAAACGAAUAGGUCAAGUCGGUCUUGCUAGUCUUGGUUUAAAGACAUAUGGAGUUAGGUUCAAUCAAUCUAUGACAAGAUUUGGGAUUGUAUUAAAAGUAGGUUGGACUAAGAAUGAUGUAUAAUAAACUAAAGUACUAUUUAUGUCAAUAAAGUAUAGCUUUAUAUAUUAUUUGGUUAUCCUUGCUCUCCGUCUAGGCUCUCAUGGGUGCAAGGCCUACCCAUGAGGCCCUUUUCUCCAAAUUUGAGUCAAGUGGCUAAGGGGCUUACAACUAGCUUCUUUGCCAUAGACAAAUUUUCUUUUGUUUAUAUGUUUUAAUUGAUGCAUAUUCACUUUCUUCUUUUCUUAAUUAAAUUGCAAUAAUUAAACAUACAAUUUAAAUAAAUUUUAAAUUUUAUUUUUAACUAAAAACAAAAGUAUACAGAUACAAAUAUAUACUGCUUAAGUAAUUAAUUUUUAAAAAUUAUCCUUUGAGAACAUCUCAGACAAACUGAGACAUGCUUCCAGAGAAAUCUAAAUGUAAUGUUUUUAAAAGCUACUUUGUAAUUUUAUUUUCGAGCAUGUUGCAUAAUAUAUACUUUCCUUGAAUUGAUUUUCCAAACUAUAUUUUUAUUAGCAAUAAGGGUUAUCUACGUUUUGGAAAUUAUAAGUUAAUUAUGUUCACUUGAAUAAGAGAUUUGAACAAUCUUGUAAAAAGAUGAUAUAUAUAUAUAUAUAUAUAUAUAUAUAUAUAUAUAUAUAUAUAUAUAUAUAUAUAUAUAUAUAUAUAUAUAUAUAUAUAUAUCGUAUGGCUGAUUUGGAAAUUAUCCAAAAUGGAAAAAAAUACUAUUAUUUUGGUACAAGACCAUAUUGUUCAAUAGUGUCUCUAGAGAGUUCCAUUAGAUGCUAUCAAACAAAUAAUUUGGUGUCUCACUUGCAUAAUUUUGAAUUGUUCGAUUUUGGGUUUUGCAGGCUCUAAUUGUCGGAGGUAACAAUACAACUGUUGUCUCUUUAACAUGGGCACUCUCUCUUUUACUAAACGUACAACCACGACAUCUUAAAAAAGGCUCAAGAAGAAUUAGAUAUCCAAGUUAGCAGGGAAAGAUUAAUGAAUGAACAAGAUAUAAGUAAGUUGGUCUAUUUUCAAGCCAUUGUUAAAGAGACAUUACGGUUAUAUCCACCAAGACUACUUGGUGGACUAUGCCAAUUUACUAAGGAUUGCACCUUGGGUGGAUACCAUGUCUCUAAAGGCACCCGUUUAAUAAUGAACCUUUCAAAGAUCUAAAAGGAUCCAAGAAUUUGGUCAGAUCCAAUAGAAUUCCAACCAGAGAGGUUUCUCAUCACCCAUAAGAAUGUUGAUGAUUGGGGAAAACAUUUUGAAUUUAUUUCAUUUGGAGCUGGUCGAAGAGCAUGUUUAGGAAUUGCUUUUGGUCUUCAAAUAUUAUAUUUAACAUUAGCUAGUUUCUUACAUGCAUUUGACUUUUCAACUCCAUCAAAUGAACAUGUUGACAUGCAAGAGGCCUUAGACUUACAAAUAUGAAAUCUACCUCACUUGAAGUUCUCAUUUCUCCGGACUUAUUUUCUUGUAGUCUUUACAACUAAAACAUUGAAAUGAAGAGGUCAAAGUCGACCUAGCUAGUCUUGGUUUAAAGACAUAUAGAGUUAGAUUCAAUCAAUCUAUGAUAAGAUUUGGGACUGUAUUAAACAUAGGUUGGACUAAAAAUGAUGUACAAUAAACUAAUUAAAGUAUUGUCCAUGCCAAUAAAGUAUAACAUUAUAUAUUAUUUGGUUAGCCUUAAGGAAUGUAGCAUCAUAAUUAUUUCUUUGUUUUGUCUAAUUUAUCACCAUUUUUUCCCCUUCUCUUCUUCCCUUCUCUUCAUUAGAACAAAUAAUAUAUAGUCUUUUUAUUUUUAAAAAUCAAAUUCGAUUCCCAGUUAUAUAAGAAUUUUACUUUUACUUUAUAAUAAACUUUACUUUAAUCUUAAUAACUUUGACCAUGAUCUCCAUCAUUGAUUAAAUAUAGGGAUAAUUUCAAUCAUUUUUUCUAAGAUUGGAGUUAAAUUUACCCAUCCAUUAUUAAUUUGAAAUUUUAUUAAAUAUUUUUUUUUUCCUUUUUUUUUACAUGUAUAUCUUUUAAUUUAAAAUAAUAGUUGUCCGAUAUAUUUAUAUGAAAUUAUUUUCGAAGAGGUGAAUGAAACUAAACUUUUUUUUAAAUAUAAAAUCAUAAAAAUUUAAUAUACGCCAGCACGAUCCGGUCUAAAUAUUAUAUAUAAUUUGUGUCAUUUCAAAAAAUCAUAGAAGAUCCUUUUGGCAAGGUGGCCCCUUUGAGUAGGAAUUCUCUAAUUGGUCACUACAUAUUACAUAAUUUCAAAGAUUAUGGAGGAUCAUUUACCAAUCAUUAUCAGAAGAAGUGCUGAUUCCUGUAUAAAACUAACCAAUACGAUAUUUAGCACAUGCAAACAGAUUUGGAAGGAUCUGAAAGUCAAGCCUACGGGCCAUCCCUUUACGGCUUGUUCGAAAAAGCACAAAUUGAUGGGGUGCCACUUGCCAGCAGUCUGUUUCAAUAUCUAAAUGUUACCCAGUGGGAUUGCUUGAUAUACUUUUUGUCUCCUAGCUACCAUCUAUUAUUAUGGAGCUCCAGAGCUGGUAAGAUAAGAAUACACCCAAAAGCUGCUGGUGCAUGGCCAAUAAUCGGUCACCUCCUCUUAGGGUCACAACUUCCUGGGAUUUUUUUUUAUAAAAUUACGGUAAAUUUAAAAUUAAUUUUUUAAAAUGCGGCAUAUUGAAAAUAUGCUUGAAUAAUAAUAAUAAAAUGACAAAUAAUAAAAAGGAAAGAAAGUUGUCUUGUGGCUAUAAGAAAGAAUAAUAUAAAAGAGAGAGAUGAGGAGAGGCGGAUAGAGAGAAGAGUAGGCCGAAAAAAAAAAAAAAAAAGAGGAGAACGGGGAGGUGCUGCAAAUCUUUGGGCGUUCGAUCGUAUGACGAGCAAAACGACUUAUGUUUUGCAUGAAAGUUAAGGAGAAAAUUUUCUUUGAGGCGAGGAACAUUCCUUCAAAGUUCGAUUUUAGUUUCAAUGAUUGGAUUUUUUUAUUUGUGGUAAGAUAGUUUAAUCCUACAACUUUUGUUUAAUAUUUUGUUCUUGAAAAAAUAUUAUGAAUUUUUUUAGUGGAAGAUAAAUAUGUGUUAUUUGUGUUUUCUUUAUGUUAUUUGAAGUAUGAUUAUUCUUAAGGUUAUUAUUAUUAUUAUUGUUUUAUGAUUUACAUAUUAUUAUGAUUUUAUUUUUAAAAUUUUUAUGUUUGCAAUGAUUUAAUUGAAGAAAAACUGUUGUGUUGAUUGUUGAAAAUUAUUUAGUAUGUUGGGAAUAAAUAAAAUUUAUAUGAUUAGGGUUGAGACUAUGUUUUGAUGAUAUGUAAAUUAUUGUGAAUAUAUAUAUAUUUUAUAUUUGUAGUGAUUUAAUUGAAGAAAAAUUGUUGUGUUGUAAUUGGAAUUAUUGAUCAUGUUUGGAGUAAAUAAAAAUUAUGUCCUAGAAAAUUAUGCAUAAUAACAUGCAAGUUUAUUAUAUUUCAUAUGCAUCAUGGUUAUGUGAAAAAAAAAAUUGAUGAAAGAUUUUAUAAAAUGAAAAAGGAAAAAGAAAAUAAUGAUGAAAAGUAAAAACCUGUGAAAGAUAAAUCAAGAAGGAAAUGAGAUUUCUAGUGUAAAAAAUACAAAAAUUUAUCCCGUGAGUGUAUUUGAUAUAGAUGCAUAUCAUUAAGUGAAAACCCAAAAACAAUAGUUGAAUGUAAGCAUUUGCACCAUGUUUUCAUUUGGAAGAAGGACAUGUAUUAAAUACUUGAAUGACAUCAAUGGUAUGUUUAAAUAUAUUAUUAGAGAUUGAAAUAAUUUAUUUAUUUUGUAAGUUUAGAAUUAUUGGAUAAACCGCUAUUGACGAUUGGACCGAUGAAUGGGGCGGUUUUUCAUGAACUGCAUGGCUAAAUUCCAGCUCCAGUCUUCCUCCCAUUUUUCCUUUCAUCCAAAUAGUCCAACCUCCCCCUCCUCUUUUUCAUAGGGUCCAAGUGAAAGCCCAAUAAGCCCAGCCUUACAUUUUAAUGGCUUUUUGGCAAAACCUAAACCCAUUUAAACCC